rnacentral:lncRNA from 1 species
UUUAUUCGUGCUGGGCUAAGACUAAACUUGGGCCUAAUCCCUGGAUUUUUGGGCCUCAACAAUAAUCAUACUCAUCCUCCACAAUCAUGUUAUGGAGGAUGAUGCAAGUCAUCAUAAUGCUCCGACGCACCUCCUUAUCAAGCAUCCGAGUAGCACUCUUAAUAAUUGUCCAAUGAGCUUGCAAGAUACUAAAAAACCUUUCCACAUCUUUCCUAUAACCUUCUUGAAAGACAACAAAGCUUUUUUCCUUCUCCGAUGGGGGAUUUGGAAUUGUUUUCAUGAAUGUCGUCCACCUCGGAUAAAUUCAGUCCGUGAGGUAGUACGCACUCAAGUAUACAGUAUUGUUAAUUCGAUACGUAAUGUGGGGGGAAUGACCUCUCAAGACGUCAUUGAAUACCGAGGAUUGACCAAGCACAUUGAGGUCAUUCUGAGAUCCGGCAACUCUGAAAAAGGCAUGCCAACCCCAAGUGUCGAAUGAUGCUACGGCCUCCAGAAUAAUACUUUUUUGACCCUUUAUAUUCCCAUAAUCUCCUUGCCAAACAGUUGGGCAAUUCUUCCAUUGCUAAAACAACUUCUUCCUUCUCUUCAUCUAACUCACGAUCUUCUUUAGCACGUCUGCAUCUUAUUUCUUCAUCUUCGUGUUAUUGCCUCUCAAAAACACCCUCCUAAGGUUAGACAUUGAGAGUAAAAUGUGUUUUGUAAAAUAUGAGAAAUGAAAGGAUAGAGAAGAUAUGGUGUGAGAGGUCUGAGUUGAGGGUGUAGUUUUAUAGAGGGAUUUAGAAUAUAGAGAUGACACGUGGCGCAAUUUUAAAGGGUGAAAAUCUAAUAUGAAAUCUGAGAUUAGAAUUUUUUAAAUAAAUAUUCAAAAAUCUUAUCUGAAAUGAGACACGUGGCUCAAUUUAGAGGGUGAAAAUCUUAUCUGAAAUAUGAGAUUAGAAUUUUUUUUUAAUAAAUAUUCGAAAAUCUUAUCUGAAAUGAGACAUGUGGCAAUCGACAAUCUUAUCCGAAACUUGAGAUCUGAAUGUUAUAACAACAUAUGGACACGUGGCAACCAAAAAUCUGAUUCGAAAAUUUAAUUCGAAAAAUUUAUCUGAAAAUGUUAUCUGAAAUUUUAGGUGAAAAUUUUAUAAUAAAUAGUGACACGUGGCAACCGAAAAUCUUAUCCGAAAAGCUUAUCAAAAUUAAUGGUUUAAGAAUAAAAAAUAGAAAAUAAAUUAAAGUGAAUAGUAAUUUCCCUUGCCUUUGCCCUUUGGGGUGGAAGCAGAAAAGGCAAGGCUGCCACUAUUCAAGUGAAUAGUGACAAACCUUGCCUUGCCUUUACCUUGCCCUUGCCCUUUGGGGUGGAGGUGCUCUUAUGUAUGCGAAUUUCUCUUAUGCAUAUAGCUUAGUUGCCUUUUGAUCCAAAAUAAAAAAUAAAAAGAUAGCUUAGUUGUUAAACAGCAAUUGUGGCCUUUCGAUGAACUUCAAUGACUGAGAUUAAAACGUAGGUUUAAAAAGGUUACAUAUAAGAAUGGGUAAAAAAAAAACCCCCUACACAAGAAUGGGUGAAAAGAAACCCAAAUUUGAAACCCACAAAUCAAAAAUUAACACCAAGAUUUGAAUGCAGAAUCGCUGAAAAGCCCAAGAAACCAUCAAUUUGAAAGCUAUGUUUUGGAAUCCGGCUAGUUGUGCGAAUCCACGAAAGUCGAAAAGGCAACUCCAUAUGUUACCAAUAAAAUCAGUUACAUAAUUUGAGUGGAAAAGAUGAAGCUGUAUUGUAAGAGCAAAUGUUGCAACGAAGUGGCGAAAGCAAAUCGUCUAUUUUGAAAGUGAUAAGUGCCAAUAUUCAAUUGUUACAUUUGAGAAAACCCUAAGUUGCAUUUGGAAUCAGCAUUUGGUAAUAUGUAAGUAAUUGAGUGUAAUUUCAGUUUUUAUAAAGUUAGGAUUUUUGUAAUAUAUUUGCUAUUAGUGGUGCAUGAUUUGGUGUUUUGUAAUAUGAUGAUGAUAACGAAAGUAAAGAAAUUGAAAUAUAACCCAUAUGAUUGAAAUGAACAUCAUGUCAAUAAUGAGUUAGUAAUUGAGCACUUUGUAUUGACAAGGAAUAAACUAUGAAUGAAUUGGUAGAAAAUAAAAUUUGAAAGUACAUAAAAAUCUUGAAAAUGGAUUGUGAAAAUUUUGUGUACUGUAAUGACCCAAACCUAAAAUUCAAUUUUAAUUCGUAAUUGAUUAUGCGGAAAGACAAUUUUGCCCUUUGACUAAAUUAUGAACUCAAAGUUGACUUUUUGACCGAAAAGAAAUUUGACAAUUCCAUAUCCACCGUUGCGUAGAACACGAUGAUACGAGUUCAUAGACACGAAGUGGAUUCGAAUCGGAGUUUUAACGAAGAAAAUACGAUUAAAACAUCACGAGGGGCAAAACAGUAAAUUGGAAAUCAGAAUUUUUAUAAAAACCUCAUCUCUUUCUCUCUCUCUCUCUCUCUCUCUCUCUCUCUCUCUCUCUCUCUCUCUCCCUCCCGUCGCAAACCCCCUUCCCGACCGUGUUUUUGUUCGAUCACCGUCGCCGCCACAGACCACCGCCGGCGACGAGACCGGUGCUGUUUGAACCGCCGCCACCUCCUCUUCCCUUCCCGACCAAUCUCCGCCCAUAGAACCGCCGGCGCUGACCGGAAACUGAAGUAAACCGAUCGGUGUUGACAGAAAUUCAACCUGUUCGUUCUCCUUCAAUUCUCCUCCAAAUUCAUCGAGUAAGGUAUGGAUUUCUACCUAUUUUCCGUGCUCUAGCUGAUGGUUGGGUAGGUUUGCAUCGAUUUUGACCGUAGCUAGCUCAGUUUGCAAAUUAAAAUUCGGCCGACUUUUGGCCUCCGUGUUUGGCCACUUCCGGUCAGUUUUUGGGGUUGGUCCAAGAACAAAAGUGGUUCCAAAUAUGGUGUUAUACCUAGGAUAGGAGUUUGGAGCCUUGGUUUUGAGAUUUUCCAGUGAGGCGUUAUCGCUUUGGACACCCAUCCCUGCCCGCGCUUGUGGCGGCGCGUGGGUGAGGGUGGUGCCAUGACACUGUGUUUUGAUGCGAUCCUUAGGUCGUCACGAGCACAUAGGAAUUUGCGGAUCUCAAUUUGGAUACCGUUUGAUCCUCGAACGGAUUUUUCAUAUCGUGCGAGUAUCGGAUUUGAUACUAUUGAGCCGUUGGAUCGUAAUCAAUUUGAGAUAUGUUACUCUGGAUAAUUUUAGCAACGUGUAGGAUUCGACGGAUUGUGAAUCGGAGUCCCAGAUACUCUGAAAUCGCGAACCCUAGGGCUAGGGUUUAGAAAUUAUGCGAUUACACGAUUGUAAUUAAUCCGACUGUCCGAUUGACACCAAUACCCUCGGGACAUGUGUCCUAGAUAUAUUGGACCUUCUAGCGGCAUCCGGAUCAUAUUGUGAGGUCAUGGACCCAUGGGGUUCCGGAUUAACGUUUUGGACUUUAGCGCUUUUUGAGUCCCAAGAUACCGCUAAACUAUCCCACGUGGAAGGAAAGCUGUUAUGGGCAUAGGGAUUACUUUAAAUUGAUGCACGUACUUUUAGGAGCCGGGGGUAGGGUUUUUAAUUUAAUACUAUAUUGUAUUAAUAGACUAUUAUGGUCAUUGAAUCAGGCACCCGGGCACCAGUUGACCCGCAGGAGGGACCUUCAAGAGGUCUAGCGAGCUCGGACUAUCAGUGAGUGGACUCUUUGUUUUAAUAAAUGAAAUUAAGCAGUUCAGUUUCAGUUAUAAGUUGUUUUAUUCUGUUAAAUAUUUUAUGUUGCAUGCUGCCGAGUGAAAUUUCCUUUUAAGAAUAUAGGAAAAGAUAUUCUUGUUAAUUAUCAGAUAAAUGGCAGCAGAAUUUUAAAGGUUACAGAAUUUUUAAAUCACCUUGAACCCAGAUAUUAAAUAUUGCCUUCGGAUUAUAUUUGUUGCCUUCGGUUUAGUCAGCAUGCUUGAUAGUUGCCCCACGAGGUCCUUGGUACUCGAACUUGUGUGGAGCGAGUAAUGCGGAUAAAGGUGGACUACAGUUCCCUGAAUCCUGCGAGUUGCGGCUCGGACUGACCUCGUGUCACUGAGACCUGCGAGUAUGUGUCACCCAUGGUGAUGCAAGGAAUUGACGGAUAUAAGGAUUUGACGGAAAUAGGGUACACCUAGGUGAUGGUUUUCAACUGUUUUCAAAUGUAUAAUUAUAUACAUGCAUUGAUUUCAGAAAUAUAGAAAAUAAGCUAGUCUGUAUAACUGUUUUUACAGUGGGGUUAGUAUGUUCAUAUGGUAUUUUCUAAACUUUGUUUUUUUGGGCUACUCACCCUUUUUGUUGUUUUGGGCCCCCAUGCAGUAGACGUGCACAGGAAUCUACCACCGGGCCACUUCCCAUCUUCCGCGCCUUUCUUUUGAUGUAGGAUUUUGUUUUGUAAACAGAUUCACUCUUUUGUACAUUUAGUAGUCGCUCUGAUGUUUUGCCCUAGAUUAACAUUUGAACUGUUGGAAUGUAUAUAUACAUAUGCUGGCAGUUGGUUGUAUAUAUGUAUACUUGUUUGGCAGGUGAAAAUAUUUUGGUAUUGAGCCAGUUACAAGGGAAACUCUGCCGGUUUUUCGGUAGAAGUCAACCUUGUUAUUUUUAUCAUGUUUUGUAUAGAAGGGCAAAUAGGUCAUUUGUGCCCAACAUUCGCCAGGUGUUGGACACGCACAGGGUCUGGCUCGGAUUCCAAAGUGGAAUUUGGAUCGGGUCCUGUCAAUUACUAUCAAGUGGGACUAAGCUUAAAUUGAAUUUAAAUUCCUAUGUGCGUAUAAUAACUUAUGUGUUGUGCAUUUGAAUUUAUUAAUACUUGUACAAAAAUAUUAUGUUCAAAUUAAGUGUAGUUAGCUGAAUGAAUGAUGUGCUAAAUAAAUAAUGAAGUUGUAUUUGUGUAAGAAUUUUCAAGAAAUGAGAUCUAAUGUGGAGGUAGUAUGACCAGAAUCAUAAGGCAUAUGUUGCACGAGUGAAUAACUGCUCACAUGCAAGUUCAUGCCUAACUGCAAUUUCAUCGAAAUUGACCAAAGAAUAGUUAGAGCAAUUCAAAAACUUAUGCUUUGGUCAUCUUGCAAAUAUUGUUAAAAUUCAGUUUAGCAAGCAAAUUGUACAUGAGAUGGCUUUGCAUCGAGUAGCCAAGCUUGGUGUGAAAGACUUGGAUGAACUGAGUUUCUUGAUAGGGUGUGACAUUGCUCAGUUCACUCGUCAUGACUUUUGUUUGAUUACAGGGCUUCGCUUUGGGGAGGAGCCUAAAAUAGAAUGUGAAGAAGAUAGUGAUAAAAUCAUACUUAAGGAAAGAUAUUUUGGCAGAGGAAUUACAUGUUCUGAUUUAGAUGAAGUAUUUUUGACUUGCAUGGAUACCAAUUUUUUGAAAGGCGAGGCAUUGAAAAGAGGCGUUUUAUGUCUCUCAAGGUGAGACGUAAGCCUUUUAAACAUUCAAUUAUGACAAAUAAAUAUUAAAUAUAUGUAAAACAUAUGAUUCGUAUACAUGUUGGGAGGUCACUGAUUCAUAACCACAACUUUGAUUAAUAUAUGUACAUGCUAUCAAGCCUCUCUUUAAACCCUAAAUUGAUUUAGUCAUGAAUUGGAGACAAUCAAAUUCAUAUAUAUUUAAGAUAGACUUGGCAUCUUGUGUUGAAUAGAUGGAAUAGAAGCAUGAGAGCUAUCAAAGAGAGAGUUGGGUUAGAAAUACGGGAGCUAGUGUGAAAAUUGAAACAAGGGCCUGUUUGGUACCUAUUCAAGUAGGGAACUCAAAAACUGUUAUUUUUCUUUAAAAUAAGAAAAAUUCAUGUAUAAAUGUGUAACAACUUCAUAAUUCAGGGGAUUUUACGUAGUUGAUCCUAUUAUCAUAAUCAUUAAUAAAAGCCAAUUUGCAAGCGGGUUAGCUCAUGUUAAAAUUGAGUGGGGUUAGGGCAAGUCCACCGCACAAAGCAUACCCAGGCAGGAGGGGGCCCAAGGGCCAAAUUGCCUGAGUUGUUGCCCAAAGGCUGCUGACACAAUGCUUUACUUUCCAAAAUUGAAAAAAAUACCAAAAAUUUCCGAAUUUUUUAUAUAUAAAUACCUAGCUAUAUUCUUUACUUCCCGCACCAAAAACUCUAUACAAAUUCAUCUCCUCAUAUCUCAUGUGAAUAGUAAUUGAACUUGCCCUAGCCCAUAGAGGUGGAAACAAAAUUGAAUAGUGGCAGCCUUUGGCUUACCUUUGCCUAUAGAGGUGGAAGUGCUCUUACCAUCGUGGUUGUAAACCCCAGGGUUUCUUUCCUCCCAAUAACAAAAAAAUAAAUAAAAAGAAUGUAAUGUAAACUUGAAAAAAGAAAAAAGAAAACCCUAAGAAAAGAAAAAAAGUGCUGAAAGGAAAAGUGAAGAAGCACCUAGAAGAGACCGGCUGAAAGGAAAAAGGCUUCCGUUGGAGGAAGCAAGGUCUAGGUUUAAGUUUCAGUGAAAAUGAGAGAAGAAGAAGAAGGGGUUUGAAAUGCAGCCUUACGGAAUACAAUCAAUGCUGAAGGAGGGGCACACACACCUCUUCGGUUUGGACGAAGCGGUGGUGAAGAACAUCGAUGCCUGAAGCAACUCUCUGCCAUCACUUGAACUUCUCUAGGUCUCAAUGGUAUCGCUUUCUUACUCUAAAACUUACAGUCUCUGUGUACCAGAUUUGAAAUCAGUUCGCUUCUUAAAAUUUAUUUUUGUAGUCACUACUGCUCAGGUAUAAAUAAGAUGGUUAUCAAUCAUUUAGACAAGCCCUUUGUGACAAAUGAUGCUGCCACCAUUGUCAAUGAGCUUGAGGUUCAGCAUCCUGCUGCCAAGCUUUUGGUUUUGGCAGGCAGGGCUCAGCAAGAGAAGAUUGGUGAUGGUGCUAAUCUGACCAUUGCUUUUGCUGGGGAGCUCUUGCAAAACGCAGACGAGCUUAUAAGGAUAGGCUUGCACCCAAGUGAGAUCAUCAGUGGGUACAAUAAAGCCAUAAAAAAGGUUUGCUAAUGAUUUGCUGAUUGGUUACUCAUUUGGGUUAUUAGAAUUCUUCCGUUCUGAUUAUUUACUCGCUUGUUGGAAUAUUUCAGACAAUUGAAAUCCUAGAUGAACUGGUGAGCCAGGUUCUGAGAAUAUGGAUGUCCGUAACAAAGAAAAAGUGGUUUCUAGAAUGAAGGCAGCUGUUGCCGGCAAGCAGUUUGGACAAGAAGAUAUCUUAUCCUCACUUGUUGCCGAUAUAAGUAUAACUUGCAUACCCUUAUUUGUUAGUGCUUAAUUUCUAUGUCAGCUGCUCCACUAUUUAGGAGAAAAGGAAAAGAAAGAACAAUAAUGUGUUACUAAGCAAGUUCUGAUGGUAGAUUUUUUAUUGGGCAAUAUAGGCAUGCAUACAAGUAUGCCCCAAGAACCUAGCAAAUUUUAAUGUGGAUAAUGUACGUGUUGCAAAGAUUGUGGGUGGGGGUUUGCAUGACUGUAUAGUAGUUCGAGGUAUGGUGUUGAAAACCGAUGUUGUGGGGAAUAUAAAGCGAAUGGAGAAGGCCAAGGUUAGCACACUUCUGUUUUGAAAAAUUUGUUUAUAGGUAUAUUGAUUUUUGCUUAACAUAUAUAUGUAAUGAAGUGUUGUGUUUGAUCAUGGUCUAUCACUACUACAAAAAGAGAAAAAGACGACCAGAAAACAACGACGGUCUAAGUGAAAACCGUCGUGGUUUUUAAAAAGACGACGGUUCUAAAAACACCGUCGUGUAAUACCACCUUAGACAACUAAAAAAUGAAGAUUCAAAUGGCUGUUCAAAAAUAACGACGUACCUAAUUAAACAACCGACGUCUAUUUGAAACAGAUUUUCGCAGUGUAAAAUCAAAGCCAACAAAGAACGGCAGAAGUUAUGAAUCGACCGACGUAGAAAGUAAAGACGACGAUUUCAAUAAAAACCGCUGUUUUUACUCAUAAAAUAACACGACAAGGUUUUCGUAUAAGACGCCGUAUAAUUACAAACAAAUCCACGGCUUUAAAAUACAAAAUAUCACCGUAUUAAAUUAAUGUACAACGACGAAAAAUAUAAAUAUAUCGACGUCAUUCUCGUAUAGUUCUACGACGUUAUCUUUAAAUCGUACUAUAAAAUUUAACGUCGAAUUUAUUCAUUUUAUACGUCGUACCUUUAAUUUAAACCGUCGUCUUAAUAAGAAUUUUUGUUAACAAUUUUUUUCUUUGAUUUUCUUAUCCUACGUCGGUAGAUCUACUUAAUGACAAGAAUUGAAAUAACCACGACGGUUUAUAUAGAAAACCGCCGACAUAAUCAGAUUUGUCUGAGAUCCCAAGGGUUACGAAAUCUUACCAGAUGGAACUCUGUUUCACAUCAUAAUCUUAACAGAUGACACAGAUUUGCAAUCAGAGAGACAAUUUUUUGGAAGUUGAUGAUGUGUGUGCGUUUGUGUAUCUACAAAUAUUAUACCUAACGUCGUUGCAAAUUUGCAAUCAGAGAGACAAUUUUCAACAACGGUUAUAUUAUACCUAACGACGUUUAAAAAACAAAUCAACGUCGCUCAACAAAUAUAUUACGUCGUCUUAGUCUUACUUAAGACGACGAAAAACGACGACAGUAAUACAAAAACAGUCGUUGUUUUUAUAUUCUUAUUUUAUUUAAAUCUGUCAUCCAAAAAAGAAACUUUACAUAUUCCAGAACAUUAAUUUCCUUCAUUUUAAAUUUCCUCCGGAAAAAAAAUCUAUUUAUAACGCACUGUAAUUGAAAAAUAAACUGAAAGGUCACGGAAAAAAAAAUUCUAUUCAUAAUUUAAAAAUUCAAAUCCACGUCGGUUAUAUUAAACCUAACGACGUUAAAUGAAAAGAUUCCACGUCGCAAAACAAAUAUUGCGUCGUGUUAGUUAAAAACGACGGCAUAACAAAAAACCGUCGUUGUUUCAAACUGAAUUAAUUUAAAAUUUCUUCGGGAAAGCAAAAUCUAUUUAUAAUUUCCUCGGGUUAGUAAUAUUGCGUCGUGUUAGUUUACAAAUUCUAGAACAUUAAUUUCCCUCAUUUUAAAUUUCCUCGGGAAAGAAAAAUCUAUUUAUCACGCUUUGUAAUUGAAAACUAAAACUGAAAGAAUUCGGGAAAAAAAAACUCUAUUUAUAAUUUAAAAAUAAAAUCCACGUCGGUUGUAUUACACUUAACGACGUUUAACAAAAUAAUCUACGUCGGUAAUUAUAAAUCUACCGCCAUCUUACCUUAAUAUAGACGACGAGAAAAGACGACGGUAGAACAGAAAACCGCCGUUGUUUCAGUUUCUUUAACAGUUUGGUCCUUUAUCUUUCUGCAGGACUUGUAUAGUUCAAAGCAUUGACAAUGUCUUCAUCAUAUCUCCCAACAACUACUGAUUCGAUUGCUCAUGCUUUAGAGGCCAUCUGAAGCCAUUUCUAUUCUUUAUCGCAUUCUUGAAACCCAUCUUCUUCUUCUGAAGCUCUACGGAUAAAGGAAGAGGCUAUCACAAAUCUGACGGAUCUUCUUAGCCAAGAAAAUCAAGCAGAGGAUCAGGCACAUAUGAUCUUCAGAUUUCCCUGAGAAGCGAACUUUCCUUCGACAGCGAGUGGAGGCCAGGUGAUGGACAUAUUUUAUAUUAUAUAUUUAACCUCAUUCUUAGUAUAUUUUGGUUAAUAUUUUGGAAGAAUUUUGAUACUUUGAAUUAUAUUUUCAAUAUAGGACUUUCGACUCUCUCUGGAGCAAAACAUAAUCAAAUUGAGGAAUUUUGGAGUAAUUCCAGUUGGAGGACGUUCUUGAGUCACUUAGCUUGAUCGUAUCAAAAUUUCAGAUCUUUCUUCCAAGCGGUUAUUUUCUGGCAAUAAAAUAAAUGAGCAGUGCGCGGUGCUGGAAUAGUGACGUGUUGGGCUUUUAUUGCGUUUUUGAAGCCCAAGAUGACCUCGAAUGGGUUCGUGGCCUUCUAGAGAAGUGUUCAGAACAUUUUUAUCUUUAAAACAAGCUAUCUUGGGCCAGAUUUGGAGGAGAUUUGGGGCCAAAACGUGGCUGGGCAGAUUUUAGGCAAAUUCUCCUAUUCCAAUUUGGACUUUAUUUCCUAGUAUUAUUUUACUUUAAUUAGUUUCCUUGUGGGGAUAGAAAAGCUGUACAUUGGCAGCUAGGUUUUAAGGGGUAUUUAAGCUCUUUCUCACGAGGAAUUGAAGGACUCCCUUUUCACUUUUGAACUUUGCAUUGUGGAGAGCAAUUGCUAGGGUUUUGGGUUUUCACAACUUUCAGGUGUUUUCGUUCUUUUCUUCUUAAUGAUAUUUUCUUGGAUUUCAAUUAUGAGUAUGCGUAACUAAAUUUCUUUUGCUAGGGUGAAGCCUUGAACCUUAGCAUGAAUAUGUGAUUUUUAUUUAAUUGCUUAUGAUGAGUGCAUGCGUAUUUUGAAUUGUUAAUCACUGUUUUAAACUAUCUAAUUGUCUUAAUGCCUGAUCACCAUUAGGAUCUUUAGAAAAGUAAUUGGAUGCAAUUUUGGUCGGAAGGUUCCCUGAAAUUGAUGCUAGCUUCUUGUGAUUAAUAAUUGUAAUUUCACUUAAGAUGAACACCACGUCUUAAGGGUUGCAUGGUUUUUCAAAGGGUUUUCACAAAACUUAAUGAGUCUUUCAUGUUCAGAUUUGAUCCGAACGUCCGGACGGGUUGCAUGUUGGAUAUACGUUCUGUGUUGGAGGUUCCAAGUAGAAUAUACAUUAGGAAAACCUAACCUUCAAAGUGGCAUGUGCAAAUCAUAAGUAAUUGGUAAAAGUUCAUAGGAUUGCUAGGUGAUGGUGAAACCCUAGUGUUUUUAUAAAUUGAUAUUCAAAACUCUUUCUCUCAAUCGUAUUUGUUUUUGUUUAAUAUUUGUUUUUUAGAAUCCACCAAAUUUAUAAUCAUCUUUCUUGACUUUUUAUUUUAAGUAGUAAUUGGAAUUUGUUUUUACAUAAAUUGCUAAUUAGUCCUUGAGGAAAACGACCUUGCAUGAGCAUCUAUACUACAAUAGCCUUGUAUUCUUGCAAGUAUUUUAUGUGAUUUUUAACACUGUUUGCACAAGUACUAAAAAUCCUAUCACCAGGCUUGCAUCUCUUUUGAUGGAAAGCAAGGAGUAUUCAGAAGCACUAAGUGUCCUAUCAGGCUUGAUCAAGGAAGUGAGAAGGCUAGUUGACAAGCUUCUUCUUGUGGACAUAGAUUUGAUGCGAGUAAGCUCAAUUUCUCUUUGAGAAAGACAUCCAAAUUAUUGUCUUUGAGAUGUGAGAGACAGUGUCUCUGAGAGAGGAAGAACUUGGAACCCUAAAUGUAAACCGAAAAUGAAUGAAAGCGACAAAUUUAUAGAAUAAAUUUUUAAAACCAACGGCGGUCCUUACAAAAAAAUCGCUGUUUAAAUUGUAAAAUCAACGUCGGUAUGACCGACGUAUAUUACAGAAAUCCACGUCGGUACAUUAAUAAAAAUGACGUGUUAAAUAAUCUACCAUGACGCGAGUUAUUACUUAUGUACUUUAAUUUUUGAGUUUACUACGACGGUACCUACAACACUACUGUCGUAUUUAUUUACCACGUCCGAAGUUAAAUGUACCGUCGUAUUUUAUAAUUUAUACGUCGUAGUUAUAUGUAACCGCCGUAUUAUUUUUUUGAAAUGGUUUUAUAUGUAAGCAACUUUUCGUCUACCUGACUUACACAUGCACUGUUUUCAAACCCGAUUAAAAAUUUAAAUCUCCCAGAGAAAACUUUUUGACUUUUUUCCUUGUCAGAGCACUGUCAGAGUAUCUCAUCGUCUUCCUCUCGUCUUCUUCGUCGUCUCUGAACUUAAACAUCGUCUUCCUCUUGCUUUCAUUGCACGCAAAAGGUAAGCUUUCAUUUUCACUAUUUUGGUUGCUGUUUUGCAUGCUCAUACGUUUUUUGUUUGAAAAAUCUGUUUACCUUUUUUCUAGCCAAAAUCAUUUUACUUCUUUCCAAGUUUGAUAAAAUAUACAGACAAAGAGGGAAAGUUUUCAACUUUGAAGACAACUACCUCAACUAAAUAAGACGACGGUAGCUUCUUAUUUACGUGGUUAAAUAUGUAGACCACGACGGUUCGUCAGUCGUUCUAGCGUCGUCUGAAAAUUGACAAAGUUGUUUUUAAAAUUAUAGUCUUUUUUUUAUUUGCUUGUUUAAUUGCAGGUUUGAUUUCUCUGAACAUUGGUUUUUGUUUUUCCCUAAUUUGAUAAAAUAUAAAGAAAAAGAAAGUAGGGUUGGUAUCUAAUAUAGACGACAGUAUCUUAUUGUUUUACGUCGUGUGAAUGUUAAUACCACGACGUCAUAUUAAAAUACCGUCGUCUAUAUAAGAUUCCAAAACUUUCUUUCUUGGCCUUGUAUUUUAUCAAAUUAGAAAACAAAAAUCAUGGUUCAGAAAAAUCAAAUCUGCAAUCAAACAUUCACAGAGAAAGAAAGAAGGGUUUUGGAUCCUUAUAUAGACGACGGUAUAUUAAUAUUGACGUCGUGUGAACAUCAAUAUCACGACGUUAUAUAAAUAUUUCGUCGUUUAUAGUUAAUUAUCACGUCGUCCGGUAAAUAUCGACGUAAUAAGUUAUUAUUACGUCUUAUUUUAUAUUAUUUCGUCGUUGUUUAAUUACCUUGGUUUUAAACAUUUAUUACGUCUGAGAUUAUUUCAUUGCGUCGUUUAAAAUCAUAUCAUACGUCGUAUUUUAUUAAUAACCGUCGUUUGUGUUCUUAAUCUUUUCCUGAAAUAUUUUCACUUGCAGUUUUGUCUGUAAAAAUGGUUUCUCAAGACCAAAGUAAGGACUCUGGCUCCAAGAAAAAUGGAGGUAAGGAGCUUGGAAUGGUAACUCCUCAAGAGAAGUCUUCGAAGAAGAUGAAGUCUUCGAAGAAGAUGAAGUUUGCUUCAUCAUCUGCUGAGACAGAACCAACCAGCACGACAACAAUCUCUGAUGAUUCAAAGUCUGGUCGAGGUAUGAGCAUAAUGCCUCGUGUUGUGAAGAGAAAACUUCAGAAACUCAGGCCAAUUGUUGAGUACAAUAAAAGGGGGAAAGGAAUUGGCCAAGCACAUAGUGAGAUGCAGUCCUACAUUGGUGUGUUGGCACGCUCCAGAGUUCCACUUGUGGACAUGAAAUGGGCUCAAAUCCCCAAGGAUAUAAAGGAGCAGAUUUGGGAAGCAGUUGACAUUGCUUUUGUGGUAGGUCAAGGGGGCAAGAACUCUGUGUUAGCUUCUGCUGCCAAGAAAUGGAAGGAUUUCAAGUCUACACUAACGAGGCAUUAUAUCCUUCCAUACACCAAUGACAGGGAGAGAUUAAGCCAACCCCCUGAAACAUAUAAAUUCAUAGAGAAAGCACAAUGGGAUGCCUUUGUAGCUUCAAGGUUAUCCAAAGAUUUUGAGUCUGUGCAUUCUCAACAUGCACAGAUUAGGGAGAAACUUGAGUACAAUCAUCGAUUGUCUCGAAAAGGAUAUGAUGGUUUGGAGGAUCAAUUGGAGGAAACCAUGCCUGGGGUAGAAAUUGAUCGAUCUACCUUAUGGAAGAGAGCUAGACAGGACAAACAUGGUAACAUCCCGGAUCCAAAGGUGGCAGAGAAAGCAAAAUUAAUUGUAAGCCUACUCACUAUGUUUUAAAUUUUUAUUAAACUGUGAAUAAUUCUUAUUACGUCUUAUGUUAUAUUUUGCGUCGUGUGAAUGAUAUUACCAUGUCGAAAUUUUUUAAAAAACGUCGUUAAAGGUCUAAAUCAGGAAUCACUACUCUGUUUUCUGUAAUUAUAGCAUAAGAUGUCGGUGGUUCAUUUUCGCGUCGUUUGUAUUAAAUUACUACGUCGAAAUGUUUUAAACAAGGUCGUUAAAGGUGUGAAUAUUGAAUCAUCCCUCUGUUAUCUGUAAAUAAAGCAUAAGACGUCGGUGGUUUAUUCAUUUCGUCGUUUUAAAAAACUAACCACGUCGAUAUAACUACCGUCGUGAUAAAUUAUAAUAACGUCGAUUUAUAUGUUAUUGCGUCGUCUGAAAUUAUAUAAUCGUCGUUUGUAUAUAAAUAACCGUCGUGUGUUUUUUGUUCUUACUUUUUUAUAUAUCUUUGUUUUAGGAUGAAUUGCAAAAAUAAGUCUCGGAAGGCAAAGUCAGUGUAUCUGGCAGCAAUGAUGUGCUGACCAUGGCUUUGGGCCCCGAGCAUCCAGGCAGAGUGAGAGGUGUAGGUGCUGGGAUUUCCCCAAGGCAAUAUUUCAAUUUACCCAAACCACAGAGGAUGAGCUUUGACGACCGUUUAAAGGACAGUUUAAGAGUUCUCCUUCAAGAAGAGAAUAAAAAGAUGGAAGCUAAGGCAAGGGAAGAGGCUUUAAGGAUGGAGGCUAGAACUAAACAAUUGGUAGAGGCUGAGAGGGAGCAUUUCCUGAGUCAGCUUUCCCAAUUAAUUCCCAAUUUUGAUCCAAGCAUGCUUAAACCAAGAAUUAGCCAAAGUCCCAAAAAUCCAAUGUCUGACAAAGCAAGCUGCUCUGGAGGUGAUGUGAGAUCCCUACAUUUUGAGGAUGAUACUGCCAAAAAUGGGAAACAUCAGGAAGAAAAGGUAACAUAUCUGAACUUUGAAUUCUCUGUUUUUUUUAAAAACUAUUAGACGUCGUUAUUAUUAAUAAAACCGUCGUUUGAAAUACAUACCACGACGAUUUUAAAAAUAAACCGUCGUUUGUAUUUCAAUACCACGUCGUAUUUAGUUUACUUGUUUUACACGCCAUUAAACGUCGUUAUUUUUAAAACUUUGUGGUUUUUAGACGACGGUGUUAGUCAUUCUCGACGUAAUAUAUAAAUCCCACGACGUUUACUAUUUACCAUCGUUUAAUAAUUUAAGACGUCCAUAAUUCUUACAUACUGUCUUGUGUUUUGUCUUACCACGACGUUUGAAUUUAAUUUUUUUACUUUCUCUACAUUCUUUAUUACUUAAAACAGAAAAAUGAAGGAAAUCAAGAUGAAGAGAAGAAUGAAGAAAAAAAAGAUGAAGAGAAGGAAGAAGAAAAAAAAGAUGAAGAGAAGAAAGAAGAAAAACAAGAUGAAAAGGAGAAAGAAGAUGAAGAAAAGCAUGACGACCAGGUAUGUUCACAUAACUUUGCCUUUUUUAUUUGUUUUUCAAAAUUUCAGACGUCGAUAUUUUUCUUUAAACCGUCGUUUGUUUACAACUUAGACGGCGGAAUUUUUUUCUAAGACGUAAUAAAUUGUUCACCACGACGGUUUUUUCACCGUCGUUUAAAUUCUUUUCAGACGACGUUUUAUUCCUUAAACCGUCGUUUUUAUUGAAUUACCACGUCAGUUUUUUUAUUUCUUUAAACAGGUUAUUAAAGUUGUUGACUAUUCAAAUAUGGAGGCGCCAUCUUCUUUAAAAUCCCUUUGUCGUUAUGUGAAAACGACACUCGUGCCUCAGGAUAAGACCCUGAACUUUACAAUUGAUAAGGAGGUGUUUGGUCUAGAACGCGAUACCUUCGUCCUGCCUGAAGAUAUUACACAAUUUGCAGGCAUGGAAGAAAUAGGAGCUACUGUGGUUGCUGUAUAUAUGAGGUUUGUCAUUCUAAAAUAAUACGUCGUUGGUUUAUUUAUUGCGUCGUCUUAACUAACUAACCACGUCGUUAGUAUGUACCGUCGUGAUAAAUAUAUUAUAACGUCGUUGUCUAUUUCAGUACGUCGUGUGAAAUUUUAUAAUAUGUCGUUUUGUUAUACAUAACCGUCGUGUGUUUUUUUGUGCUGACUUGUUUAUAUUAUUUUAUAUAUUUAGGUACUUACAUGAUCUUUUGAAACAAGCAAAUAUGUGCAGCAUGGUUGGCUUUAUCGACCCUGCUACAGUUAGUGCCAACUCUGGGACAAUAGCUGGCAGAUCACGAUUGGUAGCAGCUCGACUUCAGAAGACUGAUGGUGAACAGAUUUUCAUGAUGCCUUACAGUCCAGGGUUAGUCUCCUUAACAGGAUUUUGUUUUUAUGAUUUUCAAUAAAUGACAGCGUAUAAACUAACCACGUCGGUGUUUUAUUUUAUUGAGUCGUUUGAAACUACUAACCACGUCGGUAGUUAUUUAUCGUCGUGAUAAAUAUAUAAUGUCGUCGAUUGCUACUUUAUUUCGUCGUGUGAAAUAUUAUAAUACGUCGUUUUUGUAAAUAACCGUCGUUUUUAUAUUAAUUUUGUGCAGCCGUCAUUGGAUCUUGCUGAUUGUGAGUGCAAAGAGGGAAACCGUCUAUUUUCUGGAUUCUCUGCCGGGAAAUCGUGUGGUCGAUGAAUAUGGCAAAAACAUCGUGAACAGUGCUAUAAAAAUAUAUAAUUCUCACAUAGCCAGAUCAGGCCGUAAAGCAGUAAUUUGAAAAACUCUGUCAGGCACACCAAAGCAACCCAGCAGUGUCGAAUGCGGGUAUUAUGUGAUGCGCUUCAUGAGGGACAUCAUCAUGGAUCCUUCCUUGGCGUUUGAGAAGAAGGUAAGAAGAAAUUACCUUCAUACAUUUUACGUCGUUUUUUGUAUUAUCAACGACGGUCAUGUAAAAUUACCGUCGUUGAAUAGAUAUACUACGUCGGUUAUGAAAAAUAUCGUCGUCUGUGAUUGAAUUUCUUUUUAUUUAUAAACCCUAAUAGUCAUUGUUUAUGCAGUAUGCCAAGGGAAAACAGGAAGCGCCAUACCCUCAAGAAGCAAUUGAUGAAGUCCGGAAUGAAUGGGCAGAGUUUGUUUGCCUUCACAUAGAAUAGGGGAAUUAUUGAACACUUGAUAUUUAUGUAUAAUGUACAAAUUUUGUCUAUAAUAUAUAAUGUAAAAAUUUGUUGAGGUUUUCUUAAAUUAAAAAAAAACAAACAUACAAAUUGCGUAACCGACGUGUAAUACUUUUCCAACGACCUAAUAAAGUCAAAAACCGUCGUUUUUUGUUGUUUCAUUUUAAACAAAUCCGACGUAAAAGUAUAAUUUUUGGGUAGUAUAGGGUAUAUAUUAGGCUGUAAAACCAUAAACCCUUUUAUAAACUUAAAAUUUUAAAUUAUAUAAUUUAGUUUUAAGGGUUUAGGGUAUUAAUUUUUAACGACGGUGGUUGAGUCGUGGAAUACAUAUGUUACGUCGUGCAGUAAAAUAUCCGACAUGGUUUAUACUUUAAACGACGUCAUUUUAAUAUGUAAGUCGUCUAUUAUAAUUUACAACGUCUUUAAUUUCUUAACCUUGCCGUGGUUUUUCAGUCGUCUUUAUAUCAAAAUAUUCAAAAUUAAUUUAAAAUUAAUCCGAAAAAUGAAGCGUCAAAAUAAACGGCGUUACGUUCAGUGUUUCCGUCGUGGAAUAUUACAUUUACGUCGGUUCGUGUAGAACUUUCGCCAUGGUUUUUCUUUCGACGUUUUAAAGAGCGCGCUCUCUAAAAAUUUUCGCGCGACCUAAAUUUUUUAGAUUUGGCUCUUAUUCUUAUACUUCUAACCCUGAACCCUAAAAUUUUCAGAUUUCGCGCAACAUAACAUUUCGCUCUCUCACUUCUGCUCUAAUUAAAAGUUGCACUCUCCAGGCUCCGUCGAAUCUGUGAGCUCGUCCAACCUGUAAGUACAAACUCUAUCUUCCCCUUGUAAAUUCAUUGAAUGAUAUUAGGUUGUUUUGUUAAAGGGUUUUAGGUAUAUGCUUUGCGAUCUGUUAAUAAUGUGCUUAUAGGUAUGGGUUCAUGGAUUUUCUGUUUAAUGGGUUCAUGGAUUACAUUAUCUGUUAUGUUGAAUUGGGAAUGGAUUUAAUUUUGUCGGAUCUUUUAAUCACCCUAUGUUAUGUUGAAUUGGGAAUGGAUUUAUUGUUUUCAUGCUUGGUUUCAUGUAUAUGUUGGUUUCUUGCUUGGUUUCAUAUAUAUGUUGUGUUCUUAAUGGGUUUUGGGUUCUUGAAAAUAAACUGAGACACGACGCCUUUUUAGUCAUACGACGACGAUUACACGACGGUUUUUUUAAACUACCGUCGUUGUAUUACUUAUACACGACGGUUUUUUCAUAAACCGUCGUUUGUAUUACUUAUAUUAGACGACGUCUGUUGAAAAUCCGUCGUCUAUAUAUGCCAAAUACGUCUGUUUUUGUUUAAAACCCGUCGUCACUGUUGUGUAUUACUUGCUAUUAGAUCUUUGUAUAAUCUGCUAUAGUGAUGGUCAUUGCCUGUAUUUUCACUUUAUUAUAGAUAAUAGGUUAUAGUGUCGGAGAUGGAUAAGUCAUGGAUGCACUCGGAUAGAAGAUCGAAGGCAUAUGAGUUUGGGGUGGAAGCAUUUUUGAACUUUGCUGUAGAAAAUCUUCUAACUACAACACAUAUCCGUUGUCCAUGUGUUAAAUGUGUUAAUUUGAAGUUGUUUGGGGUUGGAAUUAUAAGGGAUCACGUAUACUUUAAUGGAAUUGACCAAAGCUAUAAGAAUUGGACAUUUCACGGAGAACCUUGGGAAGCAACUACUAAUGCUAGUAGAAAUGUUGAAGAAGAUGAUGGCCAUAGUAGGUACAGUUUUGUGUCUGAAGAAAUUGAUAUGGAUGAUAAUGAUUUUGGUGAUUUUGGUUCCGAUCCGUAUGAGUUUGCCAAUGUGAUUGGGGAUGGAGAUCAACCAGUGUACCCUGGUUGUAGAAAGUACACGAAGUUAUCGGCAUUAGUGAAGUUGUAUAAUUUGAAGGCAAAACAUGGGAUGAGUGAUGUCUGUUUUACAGAAUUAUUGAUACUUCAAGGCGAUUUACUUCCAGAAGGAAAUACAAUACCAACCUCUAUGUAUGAGGCUAAAAAGACUUUGUGUACAUUGGGGCUGAGUUAUGAGAAAAUGCACGCAUGCCCCAAUGAUUGCAUCUUGUAUAUGAAGGAGUAUGAGGAUUCAACUAAUUGUCCUGCUUGUGGUAUCUCAAGGUGGAAGGAAGGCAAAGAUUCAAUCUUGAAAGAGGGUGUGCCAGCGAAGGUGGUGUGGUAUUUUCCCCCAAUUCCAAGGUUUAAAAGGAUGUUUCAAUCACAUGAGACAGCUAAGAGUUUGACUUGGUGGCAUGUUGCUAGAAAAUCAAUUGACGGUCAGAUGUCUCAUCCGGCGGAUUCCCCGUCUUGGAAACUUCUUGAUGAUAAAUGGCCUGAGUUUGGUAAUGAGCCGAGAAACUUGAGAUUGGCUCUUUCAUCUGAUGGAUUCAAUCCCCACAGUUCUCUAAGUAGCAGAUAUAGUUGUUGGCCGGUUAUCUUAGUUACAUAUAAUCUCCCUCCAUGGCUGUGCAUGAAACGAAAGUUCAUGAUGUUAACCUUAUUGAUUUCCGGUCCUAAACAACCCGGAAAUGAUAUAGACGUCUACUUGGAGCCUUUGAUUGAUGAUUUAAAAUCUUUGUGGGAUGGGAUUAGAGGAGUGUAUGAUGCACAUAAUGGAGAAUACUUUACACUCAGAGCUGCAUUAAUGUGGACAAUUAAUGAUUUCCCCGCCUAUGGAAACUUAUCUGGUUGUAUUGUUAAAGGAUAUAAAGCUUGUCCAAUAUGCGGCGAUGAUACACCUAGUCACAGGUUGAAAAAUGGCCACAAAAUUUGUUACAUUGGGUAUAGAAAAUGGUUACCAAUCAAUCAUCCAUAUAGGAGGCAACAUGCAGCUUUUAAUGGGAAACCUGAAUAUGGCAUACCUCCCGAGCCAUUAACCGGAGAAGAAGUGCUGCAUAUGGUUGAAAAUGGUGACAGAGUUUGUUGGAAGAAGAAAUCAAUAUUCUUUGAUCUCGAGUAUUGGAAAUACCUUCUUGUGAGGCAUGCCCUAGAUGUUAUGCACAUUGAGAAGAAUGUUUGCGUAGUAUCAUUGGUACAUUGCUGGAGAUCCCUGGAAAAAAUAAAGAUGGGAUUGCUGCUCGAUUAGAUUUAUUGAACAUGGGGGUCAAAACUGAUUUGCAACCCGAGUAUGGAGAAAGACGUACUCGUUUGCCUCAUGGGCCUUGGAAUUUGUCAAGAGCAGAGAAGAGAGAGGUUUGCAAUUCUUUCUAUGGUAUGAAGGUCCCUGAAGGUUAUUCUUCAAAUAUUAAAAAUCUUGUAUCUUUACAAGAUUCAAGACUUCUUGGCCUUAAAUCACAUGAUUGUCAUACCUUAAUGCAACAAUUGCUCCCUGUGGCAAUUCGUUCUGUUUUGGAGAAGCCUGCAAGGUAUGCAAUAACUCGUUUGUGCUUCUUCUUCAAUGCUAUAUGUGCAAAGACUGUUGAUGUUUCCAAGCUAGAUAAGUUGGAAGAAGAUGUAGUAGUUACUCUGUGUUUGCUUGAGAAGUACUUUCCCCCUUCAUUCUUUGAUAUCAUGGUUCAUCUAGUAGUACAUCUUGUCAGAGAAGUUCGUCUAUGUGGGCCAGUAUAUUUUAGGUGGAUGUAUCCGUUUGAAAGAUAUAUGAAAGUGCUGAAGGGGUAUGUUCAGAAUCGUACUCGUCCCGAAGGUUGCAUUGCUGAGCGGUAUAUAGCUGAAGAAGCGGUAGAGUUUUGUACUCAGCAUUUAUCUGAUGUUAGUACAGUUGGAGUGCCUUCAAGCCAAAAGAUGGGACUUUCAAAGCCAUUAUCAGGUUGCACAGUGAGCGUAGUUGAUCAGGACCUGUUGAAUCAAGCACAUCUAUAUGUCUUGGAGAAUACGGAGGAAGUCCUACCUUAUAUCGAGUACGUAUGAGUUUUAUUCUUUAAGUUUCCAUUUUAAAUUAUUUCUUAUGUUUAUCUUAUAUAUUUGGGACCGUAAUGCUUGAAUUUUUCGUGUCAUGUAGGCAACAUAUGAUCCACAUCAAGACUGCUUAUCCAAAAUUUAGAAAGAGAACAAAGUGGCUGCAGGAUAAGCACAAUAGCACUUUCAUUCAAUGGCUACGCUUCAAGGUAUAUGUUGUUGAAUAACAUAUUUCUCUUUUAAUUUUCUUCUUAUUUCUAUGUUAGAUUGAAUUAAGAUAUGAUUAAUUUGCAGGUUCAAAGUGAACUUGAGGAAGACAAUCAUGGCGUAUCAGAAAAUUUAAGGUGGCUAGCAGCUGGUCCAAACAUGGCAGUGCCAUUAUAUAGGAGCUAUCUUAUUAAAAGUAUUAAAUUCAAUAUCAAGGCACAAGAUGAUGUGCGGACAACUCAAAAUAGUGGAGUUUAUUUACUUGCACAUACCAUGCAAGUUGCAAGUGCCAAGGAUAAAAACCCAAUUCUCUCAAAUAUGGGUUUCUAUGGUGUCAUUCAAGAAAUUUGGGACCUUGACUACCAAAAGUUUACAAUCCCAGUCUUUAGGUGUGAUUGGAUAGAUAGUUCUGGUCUUGUAGUCGACGAACUUGGAUUUACCCUGGUAGAUUUGAGUAAAAUUGGACAUAGGAAUGACCAAUUUGUUUUGGCUUCUCAAGUCAAACAAAUAUUUUUUGUUGACGACCCGAUGCAUCGUGGUUGGUCGGUAGUGUUAUCAAUGCCUAAUAGAGAAUAUAAUGAUGUUAUUGGUGAUGAAGUCUUAGGUGAUGUGAUAAUUGAGUGUGAGCCAUUUACUAGAGGGAUGCCAAAUGUUGACACAUUUGAUGAACUGGUGGGUGAGUUAGGUGGUCAAAAUAUUCGAGAUGGGUGUGAAGAUAUGUGGAUUGAAUGAUGCUUAUGUAAUUGGCAGUGUAUGACAUUAAUUUUGUAAUAUAUUGUAAUGUGAUUUCUUCACUUUCUACGUUCAAAUAAAACACGACGUUAUUGUGAACCAGUUAUUCAGCAUAUUUACCGACGUCUUAAAGCAACGUAACAAUGAAGAACCACGACGCUAUUGUGAAGCAAUUAUUCAGGAUAUCACGUCGGGGAAGGAUUAAGAACCGCCAUGUAAUUCAAAAUAACACGACUCCAAUCCCAUAAUACCGACGUCUAAAAAACGAGAUAUAUAAUCUGAACGUUAAAAAAUACGACGUCAUCAUACAUUUUCCACGUCGCAAGUUCUUUUAUAAACGAAGAGGAACGAAAUGAAUUCCGACGGUAAUUCAUUAUAACCGCCGUCUAAUAUCAAUUAAACGACGUUAUUUGUAAUACGGCUCUCAUCAUAAUCAACGCCGUCUAUAUGUUCUGUAAUACGGCUCUCAUUUAUUUGGAACCGACGUUGUUUAGAAGUUCAACGUCGUCUAUAUUAAUAAGUGCGUCGUGAGUAAUGAAUACAUAUAAAUACAACGUCGACUAUAUAAAUGCCACCGACGUUGUUUCGCAUUUCAACGUCAACUAUAUAAAUACAUACGUCGUAAAUAAUGACACUGACAACUAUUUUCACGUCAUCUUUUUUAGAAAAAUCAAAGUGAAAAAUUUAUUUCACGACGAUUGUUUGUAAAUAAGAGACGUAGUAGAUUUCAAUAACGUCGUCUUCUCAUGUAUUUAAAGACGUCAUAUUUUUUCUUGUCGUGAAAAUUAUAUUUAACGGCGUAGUGUUUUAGUUGUCGUCGUUGUAUGUCUAUCUUGCGGCCUUAUUCUUUUAAUAUGUGUCAUAUUUUUCCUUUUUGACGACGGUGAUUUGUUUGAGUUGGUCGUCUAUUCUCAUCCUCGACUAUUUUUUAGAACCUUAGCAGACUAAACACGUCUGUUUUUAUUUGUUUUCGACGUUGUUUUAUUUAACAACGUCUAAUAUUUAUCGUCGUUGUUUGUUUCUGAAAAUAGGACGUAUAAAUUUUGUAAUACGACUCUCAUAUAUUUGUAACCGACGUUGUUUCGUUGUUCAACGUCUACUCUAUAAAUACAUACGUCGUAAAUAAUGACACUGACAACUAUUUCCACGUCAUCUUUUAUAGAAAAAUCGAAGUGGAAAAUUUAUUUUACGACGGCUGUUUUUAUAUAGGCGACGUAGUAGGUAUCAAUAACGUCGUCUUCUAACGUAUUUAAAGACGUCAUAUUUUUUAUUGUCGUGAAAAUGAUAUUUAACGGCGUCUUAUUUUAAUUUUCGUCGUUGUAUGUCUAUCUUGCGGCCUUGUUCUGUUAAUAUGUGUCAUAUUUUUCCUUUUUAAUGACCUUUUUUUAGAGAGUUGGUCGUCUAUUCUCAUCCUCGACUGCUUUUUUGAUCUUUUUGCAGUACAAAGACGUCGUUUUGUAUUUGUUGAUGACGUUGUAUAUUUUAACAACGACGGUGAUUUAGCGUCGUGAUUUAUGAGGGAAAAGAUGACAGUGGAUUCCACGACCAUUGAAAAACCGAAUACACGACGGUGAUUUACCGUCGUCUUUUUGCUUUUUUGUAGUAGUGUAUUAUUAAUUCUGACAGAUUUACUCAUUCAGUGAUUGCUUUGAGUUGUCCUGUAGUAAUUUUUGUUUAGCAUUGAGUUGUAUUUUGAUUCUUUUAAAGUAUGUUAAAUGUUUUUUUUGUAGAUUGUUGAAUUAUAAAAAUAGGUUGGGUUUGGUUAGCUAAAAUUAUUGUUAAUGUUGUGUUUGUAUUUUGAGCUACUGAUUUAGAAAAUAUUGACAAACUUUGUAUCCUUGGGUUUCUGCUUAACAGUAUGUUUUUAUUGAAGUUUAUAAUUCUUUAUACUUGGUCAUACUUGUUUUCGUUAUGCGAUCCAGUUGCUGUUUUCUUUAUGAUAAAAGCUUUCAAGCCUUUUAUGUGGUGUAAAUGUAUGGUUCAUGGGUUUGGGUUUCUAAGCUUUGUAUAUUUGUUUACACCUUUUCAGGUUGCUGUGUUUGCUAGUGGUGUUGAUACCUCUGCAACUGAGACCAAAGGAACUGUCCUAAUUCAUACUGCUGAUCCAAGUACUUUUUGAAAAAGAAGAUCCCUUAUGGAUUGCAGUUAUCUUUGAGAACUGUUAACUGUUCAUAUUGGAUGAGUUUUUAAACUCUCAGGUUCUUUUGUAAUGAUCCUAGUAUGCUUUAUUGUUAACUGUUUUGACCUUUUCUUUCUCUUGGGUUGGUAGUAUCAUAUCUGAUGUUUGUUACUGUAGUCUUUGCAUAUUAAAGUUUUGUGCAUAUUAAUUUUGAUCUUCCUAACUUGCUUGUCUUGGAUACAGAAAAUGCCUUUGCCUUUCUGUUUCCAUAAUUUGUUUGCAAAGAUAGGUUUUAUGUCUCACAUGGCUUCUAAUAAGCCUUCUAUUGGCAUCUUCUAGCUAGAAAAUUAUGCAAAGACUGAAGAAGCUUAAGUUUUAGGAGCUCAUCAAAGCAGUUGCUGAUUCAGGUGCGAAAGUAAUUGUGAGUGGAACAGCAGUUGGAGAGAUAGCACUGCAUUUCUGUGAGCGUUACAAGUAAGUAUCAAUUUUCUACUGUCUUGUCAUACAUGCAUGCAUAUCCACUAAUGUUGUACUUGACUUUAGAUACACACUUACAUAUGCAAUACCCCCUUGAAGUUAUUUGGGUCUCUUAGAGAUCCUUUAGAUAUAUUAGUAUUUUACUUUUUUGGUUAUUGAUUCCAGGCUUAUGGUGCUGAAAAUUAGUUCUAAAUUUGAAUUGAGACGACUUUGUUGUACAACGGGUGCUGUUGCUAUGGCAAUUUUAAUAGAAUUUGAAAUUUUCUGAGAACUGUAUUGAAUGCUUCCUAAUAUACUUUUAAUGUUUGCAACAGUUGAAGCUUUGCCAGCCUAACCCAGAUGAGCUGGGAUAUGUUGACUCUAUCUCGGUCGAGGAAAUUGCUAGUGUUAGGGUAUGUUAAAAAUCUUUUUAUGGACAUCAGUGUUUUCAGAGACAAGGUGUUGGCGAAAGGCAUUACAUGUCUUGCAGAACGUGGCAUAAGCCUUUUAGACACAUUAGUUUUAUUGAAAAAUCUAUAAACUAUAUAAAAGAAUUAAAAUCAAGUAUUAACUUUCAUUCAAGGAUAAUAAGCAAGUAUAAAACAGUGAUUUACAUAGUAUUUUGUCGAUAAAUCUGCUUAUUCUUGCCCCAUUUGUUUUCUCCUAUUUCGUUUUAACAUGUCCAAUGAUUUGUCAUGUAGGUCACUGUUGUGAAGAAUGAAGAAGGUGGUAACUCUAUAUCUACUGUACUUCUACAAGGGAGUACUGAUAGUAUAUUAGAUGACCUGGAAAGAGCAGUUGAUGAUGGAGUGAACACUUACAAGGUAAUUUACAAGGAACAUUCAGAAUUUUGUAUGUUCUUGUUAGGCUGGUUUUGUUUUACCUCUUCAAUCAUUGUUAGCAUAUGGUUCUCUGGAACUUUUGAAUAAAUUGUUUAAUCAGAUGUCCAAACUGUUGGAAUUAAUAUCUUACUGUCGUAAUGCAUUUCAUUUUCAGGCAAUGUGCAAGGAUAGCCGCAUUGUUCCUGGAGCGGCAGCUACUGAAAUUGAGUUAGCUAAGAGAGUAAAGGAAUUCUCUUUUAUAGAAACAGGGUAAAUGGCGUGAAUUAUGAUUUUCUCAAGAUGUUGUCCCUGAAACAUAAAAUAGAAUAUUGAUGUCUAGACCAACUAUUGGAACUUGAUUUUGUAAUCAUUUUCCCAGUCAUAGAUUUCUGAUUGGGCAGUAGUGCAAUAACCCACUAAAGAAACAAUGGUUUUGCAGAUUGGAUCAGUAUGCUAUAGCAAAAUUUGCCGAAAGCUUUGAGAUGGUGCCUAAAUCGCUAGCUGAAAAUGCUAGGCUUAAUGCAAUGGAGAUCAUAUCUUCUAUAUAUGCUGAACAUGCAUAAGGAAAUACCAAAGCUGGCCUUGACUUGGAGGAAGGCCGUUGCAAAGAUGUGUCAACUCUUAAUAUUUGGGACCUCCACAUAACAAACUACAAUAUUCCUUAAAUAAAACAAACUAUUAACACUACAAGAAAAAAGUCCUUUAACAACGCGCAAUGUGCGUUGUGAAAAUAUAUUGACAACAUGCGGCACACGUUGUUGAAGCCGAUGUUGUUAAAAGGUUUAGGGCUUUCGACAACACGCAUUACACGUCGUCGUUCAUUUUGGUGCUCGUUGUGAACAACAUUAACCACAACACUUGCGCGUUGUGGGAGCGAUUAACAACAACGUGCCUAGCAUGUUGUCUUAUAAUAUUACGACAGCGUGUCUGAGCUCGUUGUUGUUUAUGUUUUGACAACAGCCAAUGCGCGUUGUUAUAUCAAAUAUAUAUUUUUUCAAAUAUAUAUUUUUAAUAAUUAUCAAAAUUACCUGAUAUAAUUUAUCUAUAAAUUGAAGCUCGAUGAUAAACAUAAAUAUUUCCUUACUUCACAUUCAUAAGACAGCCCAGAAUACAAAGCUUUCAUUCAAAAGAUAAAUAAGGAGUUCCAUACAUAUUAGAAAAAUAUAUUCAUCCCAAUUCUAAUUGUGCAAAAUCAUUGUUCUAUACCUAUAAUUACAAUUCAAAAUCCUUGUCAAAAUAAUCUAAAAACAUGAUUGAUUGCACUUAAAGAUCAUGCUGAAACAUGCUUUAGAAACUUGGUUAGUUGCACCUCAAAAUCCUUGUCAAACUGUUGAGUAUCGCAAUCUGAAAGCCUUGUCAAACAUGGUCUAAGCACCUGAAAAAAGUAACAUACGUAGCAAAAAAGAGAUUAGUACAUUAUUAGAAACUUUGAAUGUUCAGCAAUGUCAAAGUAAAUAGAAAAAUACCUUAGUUAAGCAAUUUUAUACAGCUUUUUGCCCAUGCAACAGUACUGCCUAAAGUUUCACCAAGUCUUCGCGCUUCAUCUGUGGGUCUAUACAUGUUAAGUUCUUCAUCAAGCACUUCAUCAACCCAAACCUUCCAACAAUCAUGUCCAAUAGGCAUAUGAUGAACUUUAACAGUUGGGUCUGUUGAGGCAAUAUGUCCCUCAGCUACAACUUGCUCCAACUCAAAAUUGUACCAGUGUAAAAGUUGACAUCUUCCAUAUUCAAGAUUGCUACUUUGACCACAUCUUGCAUUCACAUUGUAAUUUUUAUCUUGUACAUGACGGCUUCCUUGUUGUGACUAUAUGAAAUACAAUGGAAGAUAACAAUAAUUUAGAAAUUAUAAGCUAUCUCAUAGAUUACUAUAUCAUGCUAUAAUUAUCAUGAAAAAUACGUACUUGAGGAGUACAUGCAUGUGCUGAGGAGUACAUGCAUGUGCACUUAUCAUAUCCUCUACAUUCUUAUUUUGAGGCUGUAAAAAGUUAAAGAUAAGCUUGAGACAAAAUUUGUGAUUUAAUAAAUAACUAUAUGAAUAAAUGCUUCAUAGAUUAUUUUAAGAAUUUUAUACCUCUUGAGAUAUUUUAAUAAAUGCUUCAAGUUUGGCUUCAAUUAGCUCCAUCCUUUGAGAUUGAGAUUUCACUACGGAUUCAAGUUCUUUAACUCGUCCACUGCCUUGAAUUACUGCAUCUACUCUAGAGGGUGUUGCACCAAACCCAAGCCAUCGAACUCGGCCACGAGUUUCAGGUCCCAAAACUCUUGCUAUAGCAUCAUCUCGUAUAGAAUUUCUUGCGGGUGGAUUCUCUUUUGACUCAUUGCACGUCUUUAUAUCUUUCUAUAACAUAUAAAACACAAGCUUAAUAAACUAACAUCACUAAUGCAGAAACAAGAGCUUAUUUUCUUAUAAAAAUUAAUGCAUCAUAACCAAACCCCAACACUUCAACAAAAUAAAUCCCAGCAGCUUCAACUGACUAAGUCACACAGACAAAUAAUAUUAAUUUGGAACUUCCAUUUUGUGUCUUACCAAUAUGUUGCUAACAACUUUGUUAAUUGGUGUACCAUCCUUUCUCUCAUGCGCUUUUGUCCACAAUGUCACUCUAUUUAUUUCUUCAGGAUUUGGAUGAUUUAAUUUCUACAUGAGAACAAAUUAGGUAUCUACUCGAAAAAAAAUUAAAUUAAAUAUUUGGUCGUAUGCUUAGUAAUCAUACCAUGUCAUACUCCAUACGGGCAUAGCCUUUUCGACUUAUUGUAUGUGUGUACUUUUGCUUCUUUCUCAUUGCUUUAAACUUUUCACUUAGUUUCUACAAGAGACAACAAAUAGUUACAUGAGUAAAAAAAAAAAGUUAGAAAUUGAUAAGAAUACCUGAAAGUAUAAUUAUUGCUAAGAAAGAAAUACCCAUUUGAAAUUCCGCUCCAAGUCUUUCUUUGACAAAUUUGUCCCAAUCUUCCCUUGACUUUACAUUGUCUAGCUUCACAAGGGAAAUGGCACGUGCCUUAUGCUUUCUUUUACUUGCUUCACGAAUUGCUGUUGUUAUUUUUGAUUUAAAUUGUCUCCAAUAUUUCCCCAUCAUCCUAAAAAUAAAAUUUUUAUGCUCAUCUCCCACUAUGUAGUUUUGCUGUAUUUUCAAAUACAAUAGUAGUUUAGUUUCUAAAUAGAGAACAAAUCAAAUAACAGUUUGGUAUAUAAAAAAAGAAAAAAGAAAAAAAGAAAAAGCAAACCUGAAGUAAUAACCAAAGCUCAUCCUUGUUUUUUUCUUUAAGGUCCUUCCAAUUUGACAUAACAAUAGGCACAUGCGCUUGCAUUAAGACCCCAAGAAAAUGAGGCAAAAUACUCUGAUUUUGGACCACAUAGUUGUCCCCCGAGAUUGAAACUAACUUCUAACCGUGAUUUUUUGCCUUGGGGAAUAACUGUCAUUCUAGUAGGACCUCGCUUCUUUUUUUGUUCUUUGGUUUGUGUAACAUUUUGAGCUUGUGCUGGUUGCUCUUCUACAUCAGUAGCUGGAUGAGUAGAUGAAGAAUUGGACCUCACAUUAGAUGUUCUAACCUCAUUUUCACGAUGUCUUCUAAUUGUAGUUUCCUGCUGCGAAUUGUCUUGUUGUGUACCUCUUGGUUGUUUCUCUUUGUUAUUCAUCUUUUCAUCACAUAUACGAAUUCCUAAAUUUCGACGUUGAGUUGCAAUAGCCAAUGCUUCCUUGAGUUGCUUUGCUGUUCUCUUUACAAUAAUCUUAGAAGACUUCAUAGCAAAAGUACAUAAAUAAAAUUAUUACCAAGUAUUAUUCACUUUGAAGAAAAGUAAAAAAAAUUAGUCCUACCUUACAACCAGACAUCUUGUGAUAUACUUUUUGAAAGACUUUGACCGCAACCUAUUUGUGCAAAUAAUCUCGCGGGAGAAUAUUCGCUUCUAGAUCCUUCAACAUUCGAUCUUUCUUCUCUCUCUUCCUCGAUUCCUGUAAAAAAGAUUGGAGUAAAUAGACUACACCUAAGGGGUGUUGGCCAAAGGCCCUCCGAUGCCUAAGUUAGUUCGAGUGUUUGUAGGAAAACAAUAGCUAAGCAAAGGGUACGGAGUUGUAUGUAGGGUGUAAAUUAGGUGGCCAGAGCCGUGUGUGGUGGCCGGAGCCGUGUGGAGAAAAUAUAGAGAGUGGAGAGGGAGAGAGAGCUUCGGGUAUCUUUCUAGGGUAUUAGGAGUAGGUUUUCUGAAGUACCUUGAAUGAUGAAUGAGGUCGUCUAUUUAUAGGAGCCUCGGGGCUAGGGUUUCGUAGGGAUUGAGUCGGACUUGAUAAUAUCUGAAUUAAUGAUAUUAUCUCUUAAGAAGAUAAUAUCUGAAUUAAAUGAUAUUAUCUUCUCUUUAUUAGGAUAAUAUCUGAAUUAAUGAUAUUAUCCCUUUAAAUAAAGAUACUAUCAUAUUAAUUAAGAUAUUUAUCCCAAUUAAUUAAUUAGCCAGAUAAACUGGUUUAAUUAAUUAAUUUAAGAAAUAAUCUUUUUUUCCACGUGGCGUGCCCUGAUUGGAGACGAAAAUAUAUGCUCCCACACAACCAACCUGGAAAACAAUAAGAAGUACAUGAUUUAGCUAUGAAGCAUAUUAUCCCUAUAUACUAUCAACUGACAGUGAAAUUUAAUAAAUCACCACUCAUUGAAGUAUAGUAGAAUACAACACAAAAAGUUAGAACUCAUUUAUUUCAUUGAACACAAUACAACACAAAAAGUUAGAACUCAUUUGUUUCAUUGAACACAAUACACCAAGUGAAGACAUAUAUUUAAUAUUAUCCUUUCACAUCCAAUCUUAGAUGAAUCAUUGCACUACUCAUCAAAAAAACAUUCCAUCAACGUCCAUCCGCACAUAUUGUUCAUCCUCAGUAUCAUCAUAAUCAAGUCUUGAUACAUCAAAUGGGGUAGAUGUGCCACUUUCCAUCUCAUCGGAUAUCUCCAAGUCUUGAAAUCCUUUGGUGGUGCUUUCAUGACAACAUACCAACUAGAUGUCUCAUCCUCCCUAGAAUAAAAAACUUGUUUAGCUUGUGAUGCUAAAAUGAAAGGAUCCCUUUCAAAUUGACUUUGUCCUUCGUGGAGGUUAACUAAGGUAAAUCCAUUAUCUAGUUUGAUACCAUUCACAAUGCAUGCCCAAUCACACUUGACUAAGGCAGUAUAAAAUUCAUGAUAUGACAAGACUAUGACUUUUCUCAAAACCCCAUAAUAAGCUACUUUCCCUGUGACUGGUGUAUUGUCUCUUGCACUAGAUAUACAAAUAGUUGUGGCUUCAAGUGAAACACCGUUGUCUUGUUGAGAUUUCUCCAAUUCUUUAGUGUGAAACCGAAGACCAUUGAUAACAAAACCAAAAUAUGAAACUGCAUAGCGACUAGGCUCACGCGCAAGCCACUUUAAAGUAUUUGACACAUUGUGGACCAUCUCCUCUGCCCUAAUCUGUCCAAAAUGUAAGCAUGCUUUUAGAGAUAAGUGUCAAUUACACAAAAUUAAAAAUCCACUAAGUAUGAUAAGAUCUCUUACAACCUUAGCAUCCAACCAUGUGCCAAAUGACUCCACGUGCUUUUUCUGUAAUAAAGUUUCAUUCUUUAAUAGAUGUCUAUUUGAAUGCCUAAGUUCAUCCAAAUGCAUCCUAACAUAGUAAGUAAUUUGUUAGGAAUUUCUUGAAAUGUCACUUGCAUGUAAGUUGCAAAUUAGUAAAAAGGUUAUAAAAACUUACUCUAUAUAUGGCUGCACUUCUGCCAUAUUGAAUAGCACUUGGCGAUGAGCAACUUGUAACAUCUCAUUUGUAAGAAUUAUUCUUUUUCCUUGAGAUAUGGACGCCCUUCCAGCAGUAAACCAUUUUCAAACUCUUCAUUGUGCGCAUUUCUAGAGCCUAUAUCAGCAGCUUGCUUUAUAUACUUGCUACAUAGCAAAGCACACUCUUCAGCGAGGUAGCGUUCAGCCAUACACCCUUCCGGUAGUGCACGAUUCAUAACAUAUCCUUUCAACACUUUCAUAUACCUAAAACACCAAUGAGUUAGAAUUGAAACAAAUUUCAUUUCAAGUUUAAAAUGUAUAAGAUUUUUAAUAAAUUGAAAACUACCCCUCAAAUGGAUACAUCCAACGAUAUUGAACCGGUCCGCAUAGACGAGCUUCUUGUCCUAGGUGGAUUGUCAAAUGCACCAUUACGUCGAAGAAAGAAGGAGGAAAGAACCUUUCUAACAUGCACAAUGUAUGUACAAUAUGUUCCUCCAAUUUUUCUAGUUUGUUUCUAUCUACAACUCUUUGGCAUAACUCAUUAAAGAAUGCACACAACCGGAAAAUUGCAGUCCUUGGACCUUUAGGUAAAAGGCCCCUCAAUGCCACUGAUAGCAAUUGUUGCAUUAGCAUGUGAUAAUCAUGGGACUUCAGGCCAAAUAUCUUACUAUCUUCCAAGGAGAUACAAUUUUCAAUAUUUGAACCAUAACCAUCGGGUAAUUUUAAAUUGGCAAGCCUCCAACAAAAAGUUUCCUUCUCUUUCUUUGAUAGAGUGUGAGGUGCUGCAGAUAGAUAGAAACGCUUUCCUCUUUUCUUUAGGUGCAAAUAUUUUCUAAUCCCCAUAUUUUCCAAGUCUUUACGAGAUUGGAUGCCAUCCUUAGCUUUUCCCUUCAUAAGUAAAAGUGUUCCAAUAAUACUCUCACAAAUAUUCUUCUCUACGUGCAUGACAUCCAAAUUAUGACGUAGAAGUAGAUUCUGUAAAUCAAUAAGAAAUAUGGUGUUAUAGUAGUCAUUGCAAUUGCUAACCUAUGCCAAAAAUAUGAAAUUAAAAAGAAACAUUAGACGCUAACUACUAUAUUAUAAUUUAUAACAUACCUUCCAAUAUGGCAGCUCAAAAAAUAUUGAUCUUUUCUUCCAUACAUGGUCAGAAAAAUUGGUAUCUUUCAUUUGAUUCCUCUUCCUCUUCGUAUUUUUUUCAUUCUUUUCCUUGGUUUCCUUUUUUCCCUUUUUGUCUUUUCUUUGUUUGUUCUUUCUUCCAUUCUUGUUCUUUUUCCCCCAGUCAGUCAUAAUGCCAUCAACUUCAAGAGAAAUUUCUUCACCUGUAGAAAUCUUUGGUCUACUCCUAUCUUCAUGAUGUCCAUUAAACCAACUCAUUUUCUUGCGAUAUGGAUGAUUCGGAGCAAGAAAUCUUCUAUGACCCAUGUAUGAGAAUUUAUGACUAUGUGUCAACCAAUCAGCACAUGUGUCUUUUCGACAAAUUGGACAUGCAAAUCUUCCUUUGGUAGACCAUCCGGAUAGGUUUCCAUAAGCUGGAAAGUCAUUUAUUGUCCACAUCAACACAGCUUUUAGGUUGAAUGUCUCUUUACUAAAUGCAUCAUACACCUUCACCCCAUUAUUCCAUAGAUCUUUUAAAUCAUCUAUAAGUGGUGCCAAAUAAAUGUCAAUGUCAUUACCUGGCUGUUUUGGACCUGGGAUUAGUAAAGUCAACAUCAAACUCUCCUUAGACAUGCAUAACCAAGGAGGCAAAUUAUAUGUAACCAAAACAACUGGCCAGCAACUAUAUCUAGAGCUAAGAUCUUGAAAAGGGUUAAAACCAUCCGUAGAAAGGCCAAAUCUAAUAUUCCGAGGGUCUAAUUCAAAAGAAGACCACUUCUUGUUUAUCCUAUCCCAUGCCAAAGAAUCAACAGGAUGUCUCAUCUUACCAUCUUGACUUUUAUGUGUUGAGUGCCACCUUAAUUUUUCAGCUGUCUCAGUUAUUGCAUACAUCCUCCUCAAUCGCGGUAUUAUUGGAAAGUAACGCAAUACUUUUGCAGGGACUCCCUUUUCAAUUUUAGAAUUGCGUUGAUUUACUUUCCAUCUCGAAGAACCACAUUUAGGACAUUCCUCUACCAUCUCAAGAUCAUGUCUAAAUAGACAACAAUCAUUCACGCAUGCAUGUAUCUUCUCAUAUCCAAGAUCAAAUGUCUUAAAUAUCUUUUUGGUUGAAUAUAAUGAACCAGGAAGUGUGUUAUUUUUUGGUAGCAUAUCACCAAAAAUUUGAAGCAUUUCAUCAAAAGCACUAUCUGUUAGACUAUUUGUUGCUUUAUACUUCAAUAAAGCUACAAUUGCUGACAUCUUUGUAUACUUAGUACAACCAAGAAACAAAGGAGUUUCAACUUCUCUAACAAAAUUUUCAAUUUCUGCCUCUUUACUUUCACAAGGGUACCCCUCAACUUCAUCAUCUUGGAAAUAAAAGUCAUGGUACAACCUAUUUGCCUCGGGCAUUUCCACAUCUUCAUAUUGAACAUCAUCACUUAGACUUUCACCAUGAAAAACCCAAGUGGUAUAGCCAGGAUCCAUGCCUUUUAUGACCAAGUGUUCAUAUACUAAAUUAAAGUGGUGAUGUUGUAGGUUUCUGCAUUCCAAACAAAGGCAUACUAUAAUAUCUAAGUUUCCCGCAUGUCUUUGUGCUACAUUGAUAAAUUGACGUGCUCCCUUUCUGUAUUCAUCUGAAAAUCUAUAAUAAAUUUUUAUUUAAUAGAAACAAUAAAUUUAAUAGUACUCAAAACCUAAUACUCUCUCAAUUUAUAUAUGCGCAACCUGUUAAAUUGCAGCCAUUCUUUAUCCAUAUGAGAAACAAAUUACACCAAUCCUCUUCUCACCCAAUAUCUAAAAGAAAGUGAUUUGGUUAAGUGAAAGACAAAAUAAAAAGUUUCAAAAGUUGGUAUUUUUUUCUGGGUAAAUUAAAAUGAGUACAAAUAGAUAUAUCCAAAUUUUCAGAACAAAACCAAAAGCUCGAAAACAAUCAAGUAGACCAGUCACACCACUACAAACAAGAAAUAGAAGCAAUAGAGAAAUGAUUCAGGCACUUCUCAUAUAUCUGUAACUAUAUUCUAUAUAUGAAGUAAAAAAAGCUAAAAUCAAAUUAAGAGAGAAAAAUAGUAGUGAGGAAUUGAAAUAGAGACCUUUGCAAGAGUAGUAGUAUUGGAGUUUAUAGUUGGUGCCCACUUCUUAGUCCAUUCAAUUUCAAACAAUCUCUUAGUGGCCCUGUACAAUGUAGACAUACAAAAAAAUAAAAAAAAUUGAGUAUACAUUUAACAUAUUAGAGGAUAACAUUCUUGAAAGAAAUUGGAAAGAAUAAAGUAAGAACAAAAGCAUAUUAUGGACUACUCCUUUAAUUUUUUUUUCCCUUUUAAUUUUUUUUUUUCUAAGAUUAGGAGAGGGAGAGAAAAAAAAAAAAGUCUGUAACAAGAAUGAAAAACAGGGGAAGGAAUCAUGUUUUGAAAUGAUUACCCAACUCCUAACAUUAAAAUGGUUAGCUGUAAAAUUAAUAUAUUCAAAUCAAACUUACCAAAAUCUUUAAUAGAAAAUCUAAAUUAAACAAAAUUAAACUUACCCAAAAUUUCUUUGAUAAGAAACCAAACAAAGACAUAAUGGAGAACAAGAGGCAGGGAAGUAGGUACGCACGUAGCCUUGUCUGGCCAUUCAAUUAGAGUCAGGCUAAUUUCUUUAAGCUUUAGAGUGAAAAGUGUGCUGUAGAGAAAGACAUGGCCAUUCAAUUAGAGGCAAGCUUUGGAUUUCUUUAAGCUUUAGAGAGAUAACUAGUGCGCUAUAGACAAUAGAGGAAGGGGUUCGUUAAAAAAAAAAAAAAAAGAGAAUAGAAGAGGAAGGGGAAGGUGAAUGGAUGAGAGAGACUUGUUGGAACUUGUGAACACUUUUUAGGCCAAACCCAUAUAAAAGAACAUGUUUUAGGUUUUGAGAAAGGGGGACUUUUUCGGGCAAAAAUUUUCGCUCCCUUUUCGACCAAUUUUUUUUAUUUAAUAAAUUAAUAUAAUUUUGACAACAUGCGUCGUGCGUUGUAGAACUUAAAACUACUACAACACGCAAGGCUGCGUUAUGAAAUAGCUCUACUCUAUAUUUUGACAACACGCUAUACAUGCACAUUGUUAUAAAUUGUAUAAUGCAACGUGCUGCUUCUACGGAUUGUUAAAAAUAUUGUUCCAUAAUACAUAUGAAUGCACGUUGUUGAUUACAUGUUGUCAUAAGGUAUUUUUCUUGUAGUGUAAACUAUUCUAGAAAUCAUCAUCUUCUGGGGGUUGGGGAUGAUAGACUUCAUCCUCAAAGUAUAGCGAACGGGAAGAACUCUUUUCGAUAAUAUCAGCUUGUUUCUGUUGGACCCAUCGCCUUUUAGCCGGAGUUUGGAUGGUGGCGGUUUCCUUAAACACAACCUUCAAAUCUUUGUUCUCAAUCAUACAAUCUUUGUAAGACCUCAUAAUUUCUUUGAGCUCUUCAUCAUCUUGAGAUGACUCUUUCACAACAGCCUUUCUUUUUAGCUCCUUAGCUUUUUUGUGUCUCACAGGCCUUCCCCUUGGGUUUGAGGUUUGUGGGGGCGCUUGAGUUUCUAGCAUGGAUUCAUACUAUGAAUCAUCAUCUACAUAAAUAGAUUCACUCAUUGGAGAAGCGUUCACAGAGGGGGAGGAUUGGAACCCUUCAAAGGGUUGCCACUUAUAUGCAUGUUGAACAACAUUCUAACAGUGGUCAAGGAGGAAUGCUUUCUUGGUCCUCUCGAAAAAAAAGUCGUUUUGCAUAAAUAACUACACAUAUUAUAUGCAAGAAUUUAAAUUAGUUGACAAAAUAUUAAGUUGGCAAAACAAAAUUAAAAAUUAAAAAAACCUACAUUGUCAUUUUCAUUUUGGCCACUCUUGUUCAACCUUGCCACUUGAGUAAGACACUUGGAGAAUUUGUUGCACAUUUGGGAGAUGUUCGUCCAACAUGAUUUCAAGCUCUUUGAUGAUCUAACUUCUUGGGCAUCGAGAUGAAAUUGUAUGAAUUGAUCUCUUAUUCGAUUCCACAUCGCGCCACUUGAUUGACAAUUCCCGAUAAUUGGAUCUUCACUAAUGAUUAUCCAAGCUCGGCAUAGACCAACAUCUUCAUCGAUGGAGUAAUUUCUACCUUCUUGCUUUGAACUUUCAGCCAUUGGUGGAUUUGAGAUUAACAAAAAAAUUACAAAAAAUUAAAUAAUCUAGUGUGUGAAAAAAUUUGACAAAUUGAGCAAGAGUGAUAAAGAUGUUGUGGUGUGUAAAAAUUAGGAGAGAUAUGGUGGAUAUUUAUAGGGAGAAUUGAGUUGCAAAUCUAUUUAUUUUUAUUUUUAAAAAGAAGACACAAUAUGACCGUUUAUAGCUGUUGGACAUAAUUUUGCCUGUUUAUGUCCUUUGUAAUAUAGCUGUUGACACAGCUUUGAAAAUUUGGUUAAUGGAUGUGGGUCAACAUGCUAUUGACAAACCAAAUAAAUGUCAAGUAGGCCUUGUACAAUCGCAGGUAAGUGAGAAAGACCAAAAAAGUGGGUUGCAGCUUUUUUAAUUCGUGGGUCCCACUCGAUUUCAAGGGCUACAACCAAGCUCAUACAUUUAGCUACUACUCCGGUUGGGCUUCAAGUUUUAGAGCCCUAAUUUGCACCAUUGGGGAUGCCUUUUUAAGAAGAGUUUGUAUUUAUGAGAGCCUUGUGGUAGUUGAGCCCCAAAUAGAGCCCCCAUUGGGGAUGGCCUAAGGGUCCUGCAAUUUCAUAUCCCUCUUGGCAAUUGCAUAUGAGUUAAAAUGUUAUUUUCCUAUUGAGUUUGUUUGAUAUAAUUUGACAAUUUGCAUAUGAGUUGACAUGUUAUUAUUUUCGAUUGAGUUUAUUUGAUAUGAUACAAUGUUUUUCUUGUUUAAUACAGGUCAUCAUUAAUUGGAAUUAUAAAAUGGUAGGAAAGAACAGUGAUGUGCAUAAUAAGGGCAAAGAGCCAAAAACAACAAGAGACCAGUCAAAGACGAUGAUUGGUUGCAAGACCAGUUAUUUUAACUAUUUGUAAGUGUUAAACAACUUUAUAUUAAGUACUUUUUAUAGGACUAACUAAAUGUGAAUGUUUUAAAUAGGAAAAUAAAGGGCGAUGAAAUGAAGCAACAAAAAAUAGUGGAGAAGAUGGAUACUAAUGUGAAAAUUGGCAAGAAUACAUUUAAAUAGAGACGUUAACUCACAACUUAUAAUGAAUUGAUUGAAUUUUAUUUUUUUUUCUUCCUCAGACUAAGAAGGAAAUCGAUUAUAUGUGGCAACAGUUGGAUUUUACUCGGAAAGCAAAGUAUGAACCUAAAAAACCUUCAACGAACGCCUCGAACAAGAGUUGUUUGAAGAUAGUCACAUGAUGCAGUCGAAAGGAUCUAAAUGACACUAUAAAUGUUUUAAGUGAUGAGAAAAAAGCAGUUAUUCAAGAAAUGAGAUUUGUUUCAUUGUUGGAAAUGAAGUGCGGAGAACAAUCUUAUUCAAUGUGUCAUUUUUUGAUUGAUAAACUCAAUCCUUCUGAAUCAUCAAUCAUGCUACAUGGAAAAACACUUAAGAUAUUUGUGGAUGAUCUCGUGCACAUAAUGGGUGUUAAGGAUGGAGGAGAGGAAGUUGAUUUCACCAGAUCCAUGGAGAGCAACACAUUGUAAAGAUGCGAAAUUCUUUUUUGGUUGGGAAGAAUCUUUUAAAGAAUAAUGAGUUGAAGCAGAUGAUGGUGGGGACAGAAUAAGCAUGUGACUUUUUCAAAGUUGGUUUUGCCAUGUUUACUCUAUGCACGUUGCUAUGUCCAUAGUAUGAAAUAUCGAUAAUAUCGAGGAAAUAUCGAGGAUAUUUCGGUUUUUUCGAAUCACGGAUAUUUCGAAACAUAUCCAUGUACAUAUCGUAUAAAUAUCGACAAUAUCGACGAUAAUAUCGGAAAAUAUCGAUGUCGAUAAUUUCGCUCACAUUUCAGCAAUAUUUUGUCAAAAUAUCGGUGUAAUAUCGCUAAAAUAUCGAAAAUAUCGAAAAUAUCGAUGUGAAGGAAAAAAAAAGUUUUUUUUUUAAAAAAAAAAAGGGAAAAAGGGGAGAAAAAAGCACAAAGGGGAUAUGAACCCCUCCCAUUUUACUCCUCCAACACCUUAAACACCAUAUCACUUAUGUUUUUGUGAUAAUAUGCUAAAAUAUUUAUAUUUAUAUGGGUGGUAUGUUAACAAUUACAUGCAAAACUAUUUUGGGGAUUUAUCAUUUGAUGACUACUCUUCAAAAUACACUUACUCUACACAUAGAGAUGAUGAAGAUAGUGAAAAUUUUGAACCUCGUAGGAACUCUAUGUGGUACUAAGUCACUCAUGUAUCUUAUCAUGCAAUGUAUAAAGUGUAAAAUAUUAUAGUAAAUCAUUAUAUAUAAAUGAUUACGGUGUAUUUAAUCUUUUUUCAUUAAUUAUUACAAAUUUUUUACACUCAUAGUGUUUGCCCGCUUGCUGUAUAAUCAACUUAAAUUAGUUAAAUCCAUCAUGCAAUGCAUUUCCUUCUAAUUUUUUGUGAUAAACUCAUUGAUAAUUGACUAAAUGAACAUUCUCCAAAGUUUCAAUAAAAAUUUCCAAGUUUUUCUUACAAUUUCCGUGGUUUUUAUUCAAUUUUUAUCGAUAUCGAUAAUAUCCCGAUAUUUCCAUCGAAAUUUCCAUAUUUUUGGACUACCGAUAUUUCCGAUAUCAUCGAUAUUUUAGACCUUGGCUAUGUCCAACCACAUCCAUGUAUGUGAAUCUAAUAUAUCUGCUUCCGUUAAGAGAUAACAAGGAAAAACUGCGCAAGUUAUUCAUUCAAAUUUUUAUUGGAUAGUGUCAGGUCAUUUAAGGGUAACAAUCAAGUUUACAUUGGUGUUUGCUUAUUAUUCCCUAAGUUCGAUUUUCUUUAUGUUAAUUCAAUGCGGUUUAAUGAUUUAAGUAUUCAUUAUGUAUGUCCUAAUCUAAGAUAGUAGAUAGAUGAAUAUAGUGUUGAAAUUAAAAUAAUAAUAUGAUUAAAUUAUUAAAAAACAAGAUGUUUAGUGUUUAUGCAUAUGUGGGUUAGGCAAUGUGCUCACACUCUUGCACACAAGUUCAAGUCCCCAUCUCUAGAGAAUAGAGUAGUUUAGAAUAGGGGUGGGCACGGUUCGGUUUGGACCGGUUUUUGCCUCAAAUUAGAACCGAUCCGAUACUAUUCAUCCGGUUUGGUUCGGUUCGGUUUUAAUAAAAAAAAUUUCAAAAACUGUCCGGUUCGGUUCGAAUCGGUUUCGGUUCCGGUUCGGUUUUGAACCGGAUUAUAAAAAUUAUUUUUUAAUACAAUUCUCAACUGAAAUUUUAUUUUUUUACUUAAAAAUUAACAAAUUAUUCAAUUUCAUAUAAAAAAAUAAAUAUUAAAGUGAGAAAAGAGAGAUAUUUUGACAUUGAACUUGGAUAAAUAUUAGGUUUUUUUUAGUGAAAUUAAAAAUAUAGCAUUAAAUAUAAAUAUAUAUUGAAAUUAUAUAUUUUUUUAGUUUCACUGGUUCGGUUCGGCCCGGUUCGAUUUUUGAAGACAUGGAAUCGGAUCCGGAACCGUUCCAAACCGGUCCGGUUCGGUUUUUGACCGGUUUUUGACUUUUUGGUCAACUCGAUUUUUUCCCGGUUUGGUUCAGUGCGGUUCGAUUCAGAUUUCCGGUUCGCCGGUUUGAGUGCCCACCCCUAGUUUAGAAUAUUGUUUAUUUUAAAAAAAGUUUAUUAUAUAUAUAUAUAUAUAAGUAAUAGUUAUGAGUUUACAUUGAUUGACUUAUGAAAUUGGAGUUUAAAAUUAUUAUUAUUAUAUUGCAUGUAUUAUGUUAUACAUCUUAUGUGUAAACUAACAAAAUUAAACAUUUUAAAUGUGACGGGUUGACACAAAAUGAGUUGAGUAAGCUAACAAACAGUUUGCCUCACACCUAUCCAUUUAUUAAUCUUGGCUUGGUGGACUGACUCGAAUUUGACCCGAUUUUUUUAUUGUGCGGGUUGAUCUGAGUAAAUUUUGUGCAUGUUAUAAAUUAUUUAUUGGGUCAUGUUUGAGCAUUUCCAACUAGAUGCCCUAGCCCGGGCAAGAGGCCCCUAGGCCUUCAUUCGUGUUUCCAGCGUCCCAUUCUUGCCAGGACAAGAGAUGGACUCCACCAACCAGGCCAAGGCCCAAGGCAAAAUUAGCCCACCCUCCUGCCUGAGGGCUAUGACGUCACCAAUGACGACGUCAGCACAAGAAAUCAAAAUUUUUUUACCGUUGGCAUGUGACGUACACGUGGGGACCGUGCACAUCACGCACACCAACGGUAAAAAAAAAUAUUUUGAAUUUUUAUUGCUGAGGUUAGUGCAUACUUUCCCCAAAUAGAUAAAAUUCACGUGGUGCUGCCUGGGGUGUCCAAUCCAUUCUUCCACUGCUAUCCAACGACAUAAAAAUUGAAAAAAGUACCAAAAAUUUUGAAUUUUUUUAAUAUAUAAAUACCUACCAAUAUUAUUUACUUUUCACACAAAUUCUUCAUACGAAUUCUUCUCAUUCAAAUAUUAUUCAUUUUCCACACCAAAUUUUCUACUACUAAAUUUCAUUUGUGUAAAAAUACAAAUGGCCUCUUCAAUUGAAGCUGGAGGCUCGUGGACAACCAUGGUAGAUGUUUUGUUAUGUGAGUGUUGUGUCCAAGUUGGUCAUUGCCUGAUCACUGACAAUGUGAUGAAGUUCUCUCAUAUGUGGAGAAAAAUUCAUGGAGAACUUUGUGAAAGAUCGGGUUUGCCUCGUACGAAAAUGGCCUUGGCUAGUAGGUGAAUUUAUUUGAAUAAAGAGUUAGGCAAAUAGAGAGAUGCGUUGGUAAAAGCGAGUAACAACGUUCGAAGCUGCGAAAAUCUUGGCAACGAGGUAAAAUUUUUGUAAUUGUUGUUUUAUUAAAUUUAAUGUCAUAUUUUUUGAUAUUUUCUUGGAUUUUCAAUUUGUUUUUUUUUAUUAUUAUAGAUUAUUCAAGCACAAAUGUGGCAUAUAUGUGAAGCACACAUCUCCAAUAAUAUAGUAUCACGUGUCUUUAAAAUAUAAUAUAUAUUUUUAAAUAAUUUAAAAUUAAAAAAAAACCAAAAUUUUAUGAAUUUUAAAUGAAAAAAUAAAAAAAAUUCGCAGGAACCAUUUGUGAUAGAUGUGUGAAUCUCAGGGAUGUUUUGUGAUAUAUAUUAUAUGCCACGUUAGCAAAUUAACAUAGUUUUUUAUGAAACCUAGCGGCAUGGACUAUUUGUGAGUACACAUACUAACCUUAAGAACUAUAAAUAACAUAAAAAAAAUUAAAGGUGCAUUCUUAUAGUUUCGUAAACCUUAGUAAAGUUUUGUGAUAUUAAUCCUUUUCACUUUUAUGGGAGGGCAUUCCAAGUUCGAACCCUGACUAUCAACCUCCGUCACCAGCCCAAGGGCUUCUUAGUAUAGUUCUUUGGAAAAGGUUGGAGGUGUUAUUUUUGAAAAGGGAAGGAGCUCCGCGCUGUCUGUUUCGAAAACGAAAAGCGCUUUUAGUUGCAGGCAGGAGAGGUUUAGGGUUAGGGUUUUGGUGAAAACAGAAAGAAAGAAGUAGUUCGCAAUGCAGCCCUACGGUAUACAGUCGAUGCUGAAGGAGGGGCACAAGCACCUCUCCGGCUUGGACGAAGCGGUAGUGAAGAACAUCGAUGCCUGCAAGCAACUCUCUACCAUCACUCGAACUUCUCUGGGUCCCAAUGGUAUUGCUUUCUUACUCUAAAACUCAGAGUCUCAGUUGAUCAGAUUUGAAAUCAGUUAAUUUCUUAAAACUUGUUUGUAUUCAUUACUGCUCAGGUAUGAAUAAGAUGGUAAUCAAUCAUUUGGACAAGCUCUUUGUGACAAAUGAUGCUGCCACCAUUGUCAAUGAGCUUGAGGUUCAGCAUCCUGCUGCCAAGCUGUUGGUUUUGGCAGGCAGGGCUCAACAAGAAGAAAUCGGUGACGGUGCUAAUCUGACCAUUUCUUUUGCUGGGGAGCUCCUGCAAAACGCAGAGGAGCUUAUAAGGAUGGGCCUGCACCCAAGUGAGAUCAUUAGUGGAUACAAUAAAGCUAUCACAAAGGUUAUUCAAAUGAUUUGCUGACUGUUUACCCAUUUGGGUUUAUUGGAAAUCUUCCGUUCUGAUUUUAUUUUUAUUUUUGGGAUAUUUCAGACUAUUGAAAUCUUAGAUGAACUGGUUGAGGAAGGUUCUGAGAAAAUGGAUGUUCGCAACAAAGAAGAAGUGGUUUGUAGAAUGAAAGCUGCUGUUGCCAGCAAGCAAUUCGGACAAGAAGAUAUCUUAUCCUCACUUGUCGCAGAUGUAAUUAUAACUUGCAUACUCUUAUUUGUUAUUGCUUAUUUUCUAUGUCAGCUACCCAGCUAUUUAGAAGCAAAGAAAAGGAAAAGAAAAGAAGAAUAGCAUGUCACUUUUGUAAGCAAAUUCUAAUAGUAACUCUUUGAUUGGACAAUAUAGGCAUGCAUACAAGUAUGUCCCAAGAACCCAGCAAACUUUAAUGUGGAUAAUGUACGUGUUGCAAAGAUUGUGGGAGGGGGUUUGCAUAAUUGUACAGUAGUUCGAGGCAUGGUGUUGAAAACUGAUGCCGUGGGGAGUAUAAAGCGAAUGGAGAAGGCCAAGGUUAGCAGUCUUUUAUUGAUAUGUAUUAUAACUUUUUCAUAACAUAUGUAUGUUAUAGCAUUAAAUGAUGUGCUCUGUUUGUUCAUGGUCUUUGGCAGAUUUAGUCUUUCUCUAAUUACUUUUUGGUCAACUUUCUCUAAUUACUUUGAGUCUUUUAGCACCAUUUUGUGAGUGGUUCAGUAUUCUUUACCUUUGGCUUUUGUUAUAAAGACACAAUUUACUGGUUCCUGUGGGUAUUAUUUUGAAUCUAAUAUCAAAUUUCUUGUAAAUGAUGGAUGGGAGUGUACUUUAUUGAAACUUGCAGCAUGAAAUAUAGGGUGUGAGGAAGAAGAUAUGCAAUGAUUAUAACAGGAAAAUGAGCAUGAUUAUCAUGCCUUUUUGUUACCUUUAAAUGUCAUCAAGGUGGUUUGUGAUUGCCAGUGCCAGCUGCCUAUGUUGAAUUGCUGUUUGCUUGUGUUAGAUAGUAUGAUGUAAGAAAAAUCUAUGGAAACGGUAGGUUUGUUGACUUGUUAUGAUGUAAAACUGAUGAUAAUUAAUCAAAGCAAAUACCAGUUAGGAUUGGAUAGGUGUUGGUCUGCUGUGUACCAUACAAUGCCCUCUUCCCAAGUUGUCACAUUUCGAUUUCCAUAAAUAAAUAAAAAAAGGUUGUCAUACUUCAAUCCUUUGGAAUCAGAACAAAUAAUGGCAUGAAUAUUGGAUGGUUAUGUACCACAUAACAGUGAUUCUUUUAGUUUCUUAUAACUGUGAUGAUUAUGACUUCCGAUUUCAUGAUCUUACCUUGAAAACACUAAUUUUAGGCAGUCUUCAAUAAUAUGCUAUACUCAAAAUGUGCAGCAGCCUUCUUGUCAUUACAUGCAGCGCUUCAUAUAUUAAAGUUCAGAGGAAUGCACCAUACCUUUGACUAUUUAGAUUUUUGCUUUUCUAUAUGCAUGUGACUUGAGCAUUACAAAGGCUAACAUUGUUUAUUUUUUGGGUCCUUUCUUUGGUUGAUACCGAUUUCCACAAAUUUGAAGUAUCUAUUCUUUGUUUCUCGUAGCGGGAAAAUUGUGUCAAAUAAGGCAAAACGGUAAAAUGUACCAUUGAAAACUCAACAUAUAAGAGAUUGGUGGACGUUCACUUAUAAUCACAAGCGUUUCAAUAAUUUUUCAAGCUUAGUACAGAUUUAUGGUUUCUUAUUAUGUGGUGAUUUGGUACAAAUUUUUUUGUAUAUACUUAAAGUUGCCCUAAGGGGAAUUAUGGUGAUAUAACCAAGAGUAAUUUUUUGGUUUCAUUUGUAUUUGUUAUUUAACUUAUAUAUAGCAGAUAAAUUUUGCGAUUUGUGCUUCAUGAAUUGUACGUAUAUCUGUUAAAAGUGUUCUUAAAAUGUUUAAUUUCUCUAUUUUUUGAAUUAUUAAACUAGAUUGGGUUUUGUGAGCCAAAAUUGUUAAUAAUAUUUCGAAUUGCUGAUAUGAAUAAUAUUGACUAACUUUAUAGUGUUCUCAUUCUGUUUAACUUGCAAUGUGCUUCUGUUUAACUUUGUACUUGGUCACAUCUGUUUUUAAUUGUGUGAUCCAGUUGCAAUAUUUUAUUAUAAGAACCCUUUAGCCGUGUUAUGUGGUCUAAAUGUAUUUUUGAAAGGUUCAGGUUUCUCAGCUUUAAUAUUCUGUUAUACCUUUUCAGGUUGCUGUGUUUGUUAGUGGCGUUGAUACCUCUGCAACGGAGACCAAAGGAACUGUCCUAAUUCAUUCUGCUGACCAGGUAAUUGUUGAAGAGGAAGGUUCUCUCUGUGUUGAAGUUAUUAUAGAGAGAAGCCUUCUAUGUUGUAUAUAUAGCAGGAGACUAAAGUGCUCGCCUCCCCCUCCCUCCCUCUGUGUGUGUAUGUAUGUGUUUGUGGUUAUAUGCAACUGAUUCCAUAAGUUCAAAUAUUUUUUGGUUACACCAUAAGGUCAGAUUUAGUGGCAGUUUCUUGAAAGCUUAUUCUGUGUGCAACUAGUUAAAUUUUGCCACAUAUGCAUAAGUUUCAAACGGUUUAAUUUAUUUCUAAUCUAUUGGUUCUUGUUAUUGCUUUUUAAUUUCCCCUUUGUCUUCUGUAAAAGGGCUGUACAUGAAACAUUAAUGUCUUCUAAUGUGAUUUACCAUUUUCUGUGAUAGUAUGGCCAUUUUGGAUGGUUCUUUCGAUAUUAGAUAUGUAUGUCUUGUGGACUCAAAUUUUGAUUUAAAACUCUGUAAUUUUAACUUUUAUUACUAUAUUACUGGAAUGUGUUGGUGUUUUACUAUUCUUGUCUUUAGGUCUGUAGCACUUGAGCUAGUUGUGAAUUGAUUGCUGGCUAGUAUUACUUCUGUGUUGAUACUGUGUUUCGCGUUUGUUGGAUAACUUGUAGUUUUGGAGCAAGGAUCCUUUUUUAGUUCUAAAAGCAAGCGCAGAAAAACAUUUACUUUCUGCUCACAAUGAUUUCUUCAAGAGGGAAUCCACUCUUCUUAUUAUGGAUUCCUAACCGAAGCUUUUAGCUUAACCAUGAUAUCAGUGUACUUACAAAUGAGGGUGACUAAUUUUUUAUGAAAUCAAUUAAAAUCUCCUGGUUUGUGAUUGAAAUUGUAGUAAACUCUAGACCCAUUGGAGAUGAGGAUUUUUAACAACUGGUAACCUAGUAAAAUGUUCUACAUUCUGUGUUUAGUACUGAUUCUUCAACAUUUCAUUGAUAAUUUGGUACUAGAUACAUGCGUCCAAGGUGCAUGUACCUAUAAAUAUAUCAUAUAUACCCUUUACCUUAUAGGUUUUUUUAAUAGUUCUUUUCCCUGUUACAAGUACAACAUGGUUUAUUAGUACUCUAGGGUAAGGUGUUGGGUUUUAGGGCUUAGGAUUUAUAAUUUAGCUUUGGGUUUUGGGCCUUGAAGCAAGCAUUUUACUUUUUGCCGCAUUGUUUGAACUGUGUGAUCAUGUUUAAGAAUCAGACUCGUGUACCUAUAUAAUGAUAUAUCUGUAUGUCUACAUGUGUGAGUUUGGUUUUUCCUGUUAAACCAGUGUUACGUGGACAUUGGUUCUUUCUCAUAAACAAAAGGUUGACGUGGGUCCUAAAACUCUGAUAAGCAGUGUAACCUAAUGUAUGAUCGAGCCUGCUUAGAAUGUAGGGAAUGUUCAGCUUUAUAUCUUAGAUCUGCAGAUUACAACUUGGGAACUCUUCUGUUCAUGCAGGCAAUUGUAAAAUCAUUCUCCCCUACAACUUCCUUUGCAACGUUUUUUAAAUUAUUAUCCUCAUUAUUUAUUUUUCAUUUCAGGAAAUUGAUUCUUGGUAAAUGUGUUUGAAUUGAAUGGUGCUUGAAUUCUCUGGUUUUUGUAUAACUAUUCUAACCGGUUUUGUUUUAAAAUGUUUUGACCUUUUUUCUGGGUAUCUGAUGUCUGUUACUAUUAGUCUCGGUAUAUUAAAGUUGAUCUUCCUUUCUUGUUUGGCUUGGAUGUUGGAAAUUAUCUUUGCCUACCUGUUUAAUUUAUUUGCAUCGUUAGGUUUAAUGUGGUUGAUCUGUUAUUAGCUAAUAAGUGGUUUCUUGGUCAUCCCGUAGCUAGAAAAUUAUGCAAAAACUGAAGAAGCUAAAGUUGAGGAACUCAUCAAAGCAGUUGCAGAUUCAGGUGCCAAAGUAAUUGUCAGUGGAGCAGCAGUAGGAGAGAUGGCACUGCAUUUUUGUGAGCGUUACAAGUAAGUGUCAGUGGGUUUUUUGUUGCUAAACUUUUUUCGUCCCGUGUGCGUUCAUGCUGUGUGUAUGCAGUAAUGUUGUAAUUGUAGCAUAAACUGGGACUUAUGAGUUUAGGUAGACACUUUCACUAUGUACUACCCAUUUAAGGGUAUUUGGAUCUCUUUUAGAGAUCCUUGAACUCCUUUAGUGUUUUAACUUUUUUGUUCUUGAUUCUAGGCUCAUGGUGCUGAAAAUCAGUUCAAAAUUUGAAUUGAGACGAUUUUGCCGCACAACUGGUGCCGUGGCCAUGGUAAUUUUACAAGAAUUUGAUAUUUUAUGUGUAACUUAUCUUGUGCUUCUUAAUACACUUUGUAUUUGUGUAACAGUUGAAGCUUGGCCAGCCUAACCCAGAUGAUCUGGGGUAUGUUGACUCUGUCUCGGUGGAGGAAAUUGCUGGUGUUAGGGUAUGCAAAGAAAUGUUUCCUCAGACUGUAUUUUGUCUAUAAAUUUGCUUAUUCAUGCCUCAUUUGUUUUUCUUAUUUCUUGUUAACGUGUCCAAUAUGUAGGUCACUGUUGUGAAGAAUGAAGAAGGUGGCAACUCUGUAUCCACUGUGCUUCUACGAGGAAGUACUGACAGUAUAUUAGAUGACCUUGAAAGAGCAGUUGAUGAUGGAGUGAACACUUACAAGGUAAAUUAUAAGGCACAUUUAUAAUUUUGUAUGUCUUUCUAGGCUGGGUUUGUUUUACCUCUGAAAUUGUUAGCAUAUGGUUCUUUAGAACUUUUAAAAUAAUUCUUCGAUCAGGUGUCAUCGAUAUCUUACUAUCUUAAUGCAUUUCAUUUUCAGGCAAUGUGCAAGGAUAGCCGUAUUGUUCCUGGAGCUGCGGCAACUGAAAUUGAGUUAGCUAGGAGACUGAAGGAAUUCUCUUUUAAAGAAACAGGGUAAAUUGCCUCUGCUUUUGAAUUUAUUCAUUUUUAAGUGAUUUACACAAUGUGUAUGCAAUAUGCCUAACUUUCACCACUAUUAUAUAUUUUUGCUUGAUUCUAUGAAAAUUUUAAGGUACAGUCACAGAAAUUAUCAACAAUAACAAAGAUAUAUCCUCAAAGGAGGUGGAAAUUGCUAUGCAAGAUUCUUUGGAGUGUAAGGAAUGCAUAUCAUAUAAGGAAUUUUAUUGAAAUUGUGGUAUGGGGUAAAUUGAAGUAUACAAGAUGUAUAAAAACUUAAAAUGGUAUCCAAAUAAAUUUCCUAGAAAAUGCCUUAAAGAAGCAUCAUGGGUAUUACAACCCAACUAGAGAGGGACACCCGUUUUACAGUUUUAAAUCAAACUUAGGUAACACAUAAUGGAGCAAUUUCCUAGCACUAAAAAGAACAAAAGAAAGAAACGGAUAUAUCAUGGAUGUUCUUGUCCAAAAAAGGUGCGGUUGAGAUAGGUAAUUGUGAAGUACUUUGAUUUGAAUCAUUUAGAGUUCUUUGAUAUUGAUCUGAAUUGUUGGUUUUCAUAAUAUGCAUGUAAUGUUGUACCUGAAAGCAUAAAGUAGAAUCUGGAGGCCUACACCAACUAUCGGAACUUAAAUUUUUAAUUUUUUUUUUUUGUGUCCAGUCAUAGGUCACAAUUGGGCAUUAGUGAAAUAACAAACUAAAGAAAGAAUGGUUUUGCAGAUUGGAUCAGUAUGCUAUAGCAAAAUUUGGCGAAAGCUUUGAGAUGGUGCCUAAAACUCUCGCUGAGAAUGCUGGGCGUAAUGCAAUGGAGAUCAUAUCGUCCCUCUAUGCUGAGCAUGCGUCAGGAAAUACCAAAGUUGGCAUCGACUUGGAAGACGGUGUUUGCAGAGACGUGUCAGCUCUAAAUGUUUGGGACCUCCACAUAACUAAGUAAGCUUUUCUUUGUCUUGUAAUGAUUUAUUUAUUUUUUGUGUGGAAGUUUUCAUUACAUUGUAUGUUGUUACAACUGUGAUGCUUGAUUUGAUUUUGGUGUAAUGAGAUUAAGUUCUGUACAUUAAAUUUGGGUCAAGAAAUUUUUAUUUAUUUAUUUGGUAGAGGACUCUUUUAAUUCCCAUGCCCUUUCCAGAGGUUUUGCUAGCCAAUGAUUUCCUGCUGCUUCUAUUAGUGGUUCAUUUGUUUGGUGCUUGUAUCCUUCUGUUGAUGUUAUAUGUCAAAGUGCAAUUUAAUUUAGCUUUGUGAGGGGGUAUUGUGGUGAAGUUGUAAUAUGGAUAAUAGGCAUAAUUAGGCAGUUGUCUACAUUUGUAAUAUUUAAUCUAGUCCAUGAUUUGUAGUUUUGUUUUUUGGCCUGAAGUCCAUGAUUUGUGGUAAUUCAUAUCUUUGCCAAAAUCCUUUACUCCAUGCAACCCAGUUAUUCAGUGUUUUUUCCCUCCAUUAUUCUGUUUGUGUAUAUAGAUGUAGCUAUAUAUCCAUUUUGAAAGCUUUAUUUAUGUUUUGGUUUCAAGAAAUGGUUGGUUUCUUGAGGAUAAUGCAGCGACGAUUCUAACCUUUUUAAAAUCCUCCAUCAAUUUAGUGGAUGUAUUCUCAUUCUGGAUUUUCGUAUGAGUUACAUCCAUAUGAAAGGGUUUGUAGUAUUUUUCAAUAAGUGAAGAUUCAGUUAAGGAGGAAUAACGACAUGUAAGCCAACCGUUGUUCAUAUCUCAAACUCAUACACAUCAGAUGUUUUAUUAAUUGUAAAUAGUUGUUUUUCAUUCAUCUAUUUGAAUUCAAUGUACUUUUUGAAAUUACUGUGAUUUAUAAGUAAACUUUGGGUUAAAAAGUUAUGUUUUAUAGGAUAGAGGCAUCAUAUUCUAUGUUGGGCUCUUUUUUUCUUUUUGGCCUGAUCUUUCUUGGGAUGUUUGCUACAGGUUUUUUGCUCUCAAAUAUGCUGCAGAUGCUGCCUGCACUGUUCUACGAGUAGAUCAAGUAAGUAACUAAUAACUAUUGAGUUUUCCAACUUUCGGAGUACCCAACUUUAAUUUCGAACUGAAUCAUAAAACUGAAAUACUAAGUGCAUCUGGUUUUAAACUCGUCUUUGAGCUUUUGUUUGGAUUAAAAUAAGAAACCUAUGAAACUCGUACCAAUACUUCAAACAAUGGAAGCAAAUAUGAUAUUUUUUUGAAGUUCCUUUGGGAAAUGCAGAAUUUGUUAAAUAUAGUGUCACUGCAGUAGGUAUAAUUCUUUAUUAAGAUUGAUGUAGGGUUGGGCGUACCUCUAUUUUACAAAGAAUUGAACAGCGAGGGAUUUUGAAAUUGUGAGACAAGGAUUUAUGACUUAAAUGUAUUGCUAAUAUAUCUUCUGCUAGAAAUACCCACUUUAGCAUAACUGAUUGGAUAUAAGUUGGGCCGCUUUUCAAUGAUUUCGCUCUUGACAAAACAAGACUUAAAAAAAAGACAUAAUAGCUGUUUUGUUUUUGUCAGAACAUGAAAGUUGGUUUGAUGAUUAGCAUAAAUUAAUUGNNNNNNNNNNNNNNNNNNNNNNNNNNNNNNNNNNNNNNNNNNNNNNNNNNNNNNNNNNNNNNNNNNNNNNNNNNNNNNNNNNNNNNNNNNNNNNNNNNNNAAGUUGACUAUCUUUGCUUGUAUUGCUCUAUGUUAGGGAUCUUUUGUUCCAUUUUAGUAACAAUUUUGUUUAGGAGAAAAAGAAACUUGUUAUUGCAGUUCAUGCUUUGUAAAUGCUACUUUUCUGUUACGAUGGACACAUGGUAUGCCCUUGUUGGGUAGGUUUGGAUUGAAACAAUGAUCAUGGUAUGCCCCUGUAGGGCUGGUUUGGAUUGAAACGAUGAUCGGGUGCUUGAGCCAUGUUUAGUGAGAAGCUUGAAUGUAUUUUCUUUUCUGUUGUAUUUGGCCCUUUUCUUUUCAAGUAUGCCAGAAAUCAUCCUGGUUUUGUAAUAUGUGGUUUGUGCUCAAUUAUGGUUAAGGUUAAUGCUUGGCAUGCUUUCACUAAUUACUUGCAUUUUU